rnacentral:lncRNA from 1 species
UGAUAUUGUGCUUGCGAGUAUCUGGACGUUUGACCAGUUCCCAGACGUUGUUGAGCUUGAAUUGAUGUAAUUCCUCUUGUAUAGCUUAAAUCCACUCAGGCUCCAGAAAUGCUUCAUCUACCUUAGUGGGCUCUGUGAUAGAGACGAAAGCAAAGUGCCCACAAAAGUUAGAUAAAUGUGAAGCUCUUGAGCGUGUGAGAGGACCUGGAAUGUUGAUGUCGCUGAUGAUUUUCUCAAUUUGCACUUCAUUUGCAACGCGAGGAUAAGAGGGUUGUCGUUGAGGAAUUUGAUCAGUAUUUUCUUCAGCACCAUUUUCCUCAAGUGCAUCAGCAUGACAUUCUUCAUGUUCUGGAAUGACUUCUUCAGUAGAUUCUUCGGUAGGAAUGACAUCCUCAGUAGCCUUGAACUUAAUAGAUUCCUCGGGAGGUAUUUCAUCUGUCACAGGAGGUAGGUGCUCUCUUUGCGAGCCAUUAGUCUCAUCGAACCGCACAUCUACAGUUUCAAAAACCUUGUGGUGAUAGGUGUUGAAGACUCUAUAGGUGUGCGAGCCCUUACCAUAACCGAGCAUAAAACCUUCAUGUGAUUUCGGUGCAAAUUUAGAAUUGUGAUGAGGAUCUCUAAUCCAACAUUUAGCACCGAAGACUUUGAAAUAACUCACAUUGGGUUUCUUGUCAGUGAGGAGUUCAUAUGCAGUCUUCUUGAAGAAUUUGUGAAGAUAUACCCUGUUGAUGAUGUGGCAUGCAGUAUCAAUUGCCUCAUGCCAAAAGCAAGGAGGCGUCUUGUACUCAUCAAGUAUAGUGCGGGCCAUCUAAACAAGAGUCAUGUUCUUGCGCUCCACGAUGCCAUUUUGCUGAGGAGUAUAAGGAGCAGAUAACUCAUGAGUAAUACCAAGUUCAUCAAGAUAGUCAUCAAGACCAGUGUUCUUGAACUCAGUUCCAUUAUCACUUCUGAUGUGCUUGAUCUUCACACCAAAGUUGGUUGAAGCCCUCGAGUAAAAUCGUUUGAAGACUUCCUGCACUUUAGUUUUGUAAGUGACGAUAUGCACCCAUGUAUAUCGAGAAUAAUCAUCAACAAUGACAAAGCCAUAUAAAGAUGCAGCAUUAGUAAAUGUGGCAUAGUGAGUAGGGCCAAAGAGAUCCCUGUGAAGCAAUUCAAAUGGUCGAGUAGUAUUCAUAAUAGUCUUCAUUGGAUGCUUUGCCUUGGUCAUCUUUCCAGCUUCACAAGCUCCACACAGAUGGUCCUUGAGGAAUUUGACACCCUCGAUGCCAAUGACAUGCUUCUUCUUCGCGAGCAUGUGCAGAUUCCUCAUGCCAGCAUGACCAAGUCGUCGAUGCCAUAGCCAGCCUUCUGAAGCUUUUGCAAGUAGACAUGUAGCAGGUUGUGGUCCUGUAGAGAAAUCAAUAAUAUACAAAUCUCCUCUCCUAAAGCCUUUGAAGACUUUGGAAUUGUCAGCUUCCAUGAUUACAACACAACGAUACUUGCCAAAUACAAAAACCAUAUCAAGAUCACAAAGCGUUGAGACAGACAUGAGGUUGAACCCUACGGACUCGACAAGCAUGGCUUUGUCCAUGUGUCGAUCCUUUGAGAUUGCAACCUUACCUAGACCCAAUACCUUGCUUUUGCCUUUGUCAGUGUAGGUGAUAUGCUUCAGAUGUGAUGGAGAUAAAGCAGAGUCCAUCAAUAAGCUCUUGUCACCACUCAUGUGAUUUGUACAUCCACUAGCGAGGACCCACUCAGUGGCUUUGGGUUGAUCAUCCUGCAGAUGAAUUAGUGCAACUUACGAACUCAUAUACUUCAUCAGUGAAGAAUACAGUAUUAAUUUCAUCAGAUCAAAUUCAUCAAGCAAUAGAACAGAUAAAGUAGUAGGAGGACGUGAGAAAUGAAAAUUCAUUUCUUCAUGAUUAGCUUGCUUCCUUUCAAGCAAAUUCAGGCCUCCAACAAAUUCUUCAGACGAUUAAGUUCGUCUAGAGACCUGGCCCUGCAUAAGAGAUUCGUUCUUUUUCUUCACCACCCACAUCUGAAGGGGUGGCAAAGAGUUCAUCAUUCUGCGAGCUCCAUAAGAGAAAGGUGGCAUAUAUGACAAUCCACUUCGUUUCACAUAAGAGGGGUUAGGGUAAGCAUAAGAGUAAGCAGAGAAAUUCUUCGAGGACUCAUGAACAUAAUGAUUUGAAGAAUAAUGCACAUAUCCAUAAUCCUUAGAUCUUCCCUGCAAAAUAGACGGGUUAGCAUAAUGAUGCUCAUAUGAGGACUUUGAUCCUUUUGAGGAAUUUGAUCCACGUGAGGAGUUUGGUCCGUAUGAGGACUUGGAUCCAUAUGAAAAAUUUGGUCCAUAUGAAGAAUUUGAUCUGGGGUUCCUAUUCUUUACAGGUGGUGUCAUGAUGACAUUCACCUGAAGAUUUUUAAGGCACCUUUUGGGAACCGAGAUUUUCUUCAUAGGAUAACUGUUCCUCAGUUAGUGCCAACAUAUCUAGCAAAUACUUCACCAUUCUGAUUUUUGAACAGUUUAUAAUUAGAGUCAAAUGACUCAUCAGAAGAAUAUGAAGAUUCGCAUGUAAAGCCAGAUAAAGUAGAUGGAUCCACUAAAGGUCCCUUUGCAGCAACCCAUGAGGUUUUGGGAUACUACUGAGGUUUCCAGUAGGACCCAUCAACAUUGAGUUUCCUCUCAAAGGCAAUACCCUCUUUCCUAGGGUUCCUGUUGAGGAUCUGCUUUUUAAGCACGUCACAAAGAGCCUGAUGCCCUUUGAGGCUUUUGUACAUGCCUGUCAUAUACAAUUCCUUCAGCCCUGCAUCAUCAUGAUACUAGCAAUGUCCUCAGAUGAGGAAUUAGUGAUAGCAGAGGCAGUUGAAGAAUUUGCAGCAAUGGAAGUAUUUGAGCAUUCAGGUGAAGAAUUAGCAGUUUCACGUUCAAUGCACUUCAAACAUAGAGGAACAAAUUCAUCCUGAGUAGCACUGAUCUGUUGAGCAAGUAAUGAAUCACGCUCCUUUUGAAGAUCUUCAUAACUCACUCUUAACUGCUCAAGAUCUUGCUUUCUUUGAAGAAAUUCAUAAUAAAGCUUCUAAUAAUCAGAUAGGAGAGUGUUAUGAUGACCUUGAAGAUUGUCAAACUUGGACUGAAGUCUCUAAAGAUUUUCAGUCAAAAUUUUAGUGCGAUCCAUUUCCUCGCCCAACAUAUCAUCACUUUUAUCUAGCAUGUUUUGAACCUUUUCAAGAGCCUUUUGCAGUUUCACAGCAAUCUUAGCAAGUUUAGAAUAGCUGGGUUUGAGGUUUUCAUCAGAUUCAUCCUCACUAGAUUCAGAGGAGAGAUAUUUGAGUACAUUUGAGCCUUUUGCCAUGAAGCAAUAGGUGGGAGUGUAGUCCUCAUCGCCGUCAUCAGUAGUGUUGGGGAGGUCCUUUUAUUCAGAGUUGAAGAUGGACUUGCUGACGAACGCAAUAGCGAGGUCUAGGCUCGCCACACCAGAUUCUGACUCCUCAGAUUUCUUAGAUUCAUCCUCAGAGUCCAUUUCCUUGCCAAUGAAUGCCCGGGCCUUCUUGGAGCUGCUCUUCUUGUGAGAUGAGGACCUUGAAGAUUUUGAUGACGAGGACUUUGAAGAUUCCUUCUUCUUCUUUGAAUCAUCUGAACUGUAAUCCUUGUACUUCUUCUUCUUUGAUUCGUUUUCCCACUGAGGACAAUCUUAAAUGUAGUGUCCGGGUUUCUUGCAUUUGUGACAGAGUCCCUUCUUGUAAUCAUGGGAUGAGGAAUAUGAUCUCAAGUCAGCACUUCUUGAGGAUUUACCAAAGCGACCACGUCUUGAGAACUUCUGAAACUUCCUCACGAGCAUUGCUAGCUCAUGGCUUAGUUCUUCAGGGUCACCAAGGCUGCUGCCAGAAUCUUCACCUUCAGAUUCGGACAUUACCCUGACCUUCAGAGCCCGUGAUCUACCAUAACUUGGUCCAUAGAGAUCUCUCUUCUCAGCAAGCUGGAACUCAUGAGUGUUUAGUCUCUUGAGGAUAGCAGCGGGAUCAAGUGACUUAUAGUCUCCACGUUCUUGUAUCAUCAAUGCCAAGGUAUCAAAUGAGGAAUCAAGCGAUCUCAGCAAUUUCUUCACCACCUCAUGGUCGGUGAUAUCAGUGGCACCAAGUGCUUGAAGCUCAUUUGAGAUGUCAGUGAGGCGAUCGAAGGUUUGCUGGACAUUUUCAUUGUCGAGUCUUUUGAAGCGGUUGAAGAGAUUGCGAAGAACGUCAACUUGAGAGUCACGUUGUGUUGAGACUCCCUCAUUGACCUUGGACAGCCUGUCUCAGAUAAGCUUAGUUGUCUCCAAAGCACUCACUCUGCCAUACUGCCCUUUGCUCAGAUGGCCACAUAUGAUGUUCUUCGCUUGAGAGUUGAGUUGCUUGAAUCUCUUCACAUCAGCAGCGUUGAUGGUAGGAGUGAAAGAGGGAACGCCAUUUUCCACAACGUACCAGAGAUCAUUGUCAAUUGCCUCAAGAUGCAUGCGCAUCUUAUUCUUCCAGUAAGUGUAGUCCGUCCCAUCGAAGGUAGGACACCCACCAGAAACCUUGAUCAUACCUGCGGUCGACAUAAAUAAAACUCCAGGCGGUUAAACCAAAAUCACAUAGAACAAGGGAGUACCUUGCUCUGAUACCAAUUUAAAGUGCGUUAUAUCGACUAGAGGGGGGUGAAUAGGAGAUUUUUAUGAAUUCUUUACUGAGGAAUUUGCGGGUGAGGAAAUUCCUGAGUGAAGAACUACUUGCAGCGGAAUAAGUACUCAGAAGUAAACAUAACAGAACAUGAGCAUGGUCUUUAUGAUGAAAUGAAAACAAACACAGAGUACAGAAAGCGUAAACACAUGACAAACAGAAUGAAGACAAACAGACUGAAGAAAUUGAGUUGAGGAAAUAGAGAAAGUCUUCAGUCAAAGUCUUCAAACAGAUAUAAACAAGCACACAACAGAGAGACGAGGAAAUAGAAGGGUUGAGGAAGUGGAACCAGGUAGCUUCGUGAAGACAAUAAUUUGGUAGACCAGUUCCAACUGUUGUGAUAGUUGUACGUCUGAUUAGGGCGGCUAGGUAUUUAAACCCGAGGACACACAGUCCCGGACACCCAGUCCUGAACACGCAUCUCAGGACACUCAGUCCUCACCGUAUUCCCCUUGAGAUAAGGUCACACAGACCUCGCCCAAUCACUCGUGGUAAGUAUUCAGGUGACUUUCAAACCUUCACAGACUCGGUCACUCGGUGAUCCACAAUUUCCUCUUGGAUGCUCUAGACCAUGACGCCUAACCGUUUGGAAGAUGCACAGUCUUCAAAGGUAACAAGCGUCAGAUCCACACAGGAUGAAUCUCUUCAGUGAUGCUCAAUCACUUUGGGUUUGUGGGUGUUUGGGUUUUCCUCACUUGAUGAUUUUCACUCAAAGUCCUCGGAGGAUGGGAUGCUCUCAAAUGACAAGUGUCAGUUUCUCUUGGAGCAGCCAACCAGCUAGUGGUUGUAGGGGGCGGCUAUUUAUAGCCUAGGGAGCAGCCCGACAUGAUACGACAUAAAUGCCCUUUAAUGAUAUGACCGUUAGGUGGGUAGAUAUUUUGGGACAGCGGGCGCAUAGCACAGCAACGGUCAGAAUUUUAAGUAGCAAAUUCCUCAGGGCUAUCAUGUUCCUCACUGUGUAGGCAAUCCGCACUGGCGAAUUCCUAACUCCUCAGUCAGAACAAACUCCUCAGAGACCAGAAGAACUUCGUCUCUGUCACUAAAGAAAUUGACUGAGCUGUAUGAGAUUUCCAAUGGCUUCACUCGAAGGGAUUGGUAGAUGUAGGAUUUGAGUUGAGCAUCACUUGGAAAUUUUUCCUUAGUAUUUCCUCGACCCCCUUUAACAGUAUGGUGUUUCCUAUGACUCAAGAAAGAGAAAAUGAAACUAUGAAAACAAAGUCUUCAUGCUUCAUGUUCCUCGAAUGAAUACCACGUCUUCAGUAUCACACCAAUUUCUUCACUUUCAAAGUCUUCAGAAAUCCAAAGUCUUCAGUCGAAGACUUCAUUUUUAGGGGUCGACUUUCCCUGUAAAUAUCAAACUCCUCAUAGACUUAUAGACCUAUGUACACUCACAAACGCAUCAGUCCCUUACCCUAUAAGUCUUCAAUACACCAAAAUCACUAAGGGGCACUAGAUGCACUUACACACUUCUUUCGAGAGAAACUCCUUCUCUAGAAAGGAUCCAUUCUUUGCAACAAAGAUCUUGCCUUCGGAUCUGUGAUAGAAGGUGUACCCAACAGUUUCCUUUGGGUAUUCUAUGAAGACACAUUUCUCCGAUUUGGGUUCGAGGUCAUCAGGUUGAAACUUUUCACAUAAGCAUCGCAGCCCCAAACUUUAAGAAAUGACAGCUUAGGUUUCUAGCCAAACCAUAAUUCAUAUGGUGUCGUCUCAACGGAUUUAGAUGGUGCCCUAUUUAACGUGAAUGCAGCUGUCUCUAAUGCAUAACCCCAACAUGAUAGUGAUAAAUCCGUAAGAGACAUCAUAAAUCGCACCAUAUCUAAUAAAGUACGGUUAUGACGUUUGAACACACCAUUACGUUGUGGUGUUCCAGGUGGCGUGAGUUGCAAAACUAUUCCGCAUUGUUUCAAAUGAAGACCAAACUCGUAACUCAAAUAUUCUCCUCCACGAUCAGAUCGCAGAAACUUUUUUUCUUGUUACGAUGAUUUUCCACUUCACUCUGAAAUUAUUUUAACUUUUCAAAUGUUUUAGACUUACGUUUCAUCAAGUAGAUAUACCCAUAUCUGCUCAAAUCAUCUGUGAAGGUCGGAAAAAACGAUACCGGCAGCGAGCCUCAACACUCAUUGGAUUGCAUACAUCAGUAUGUAUUAUUUCUAAUAAUUCGGUUGCUUGCUCCAUUGUUCCAGAGAACGGAGUUUUAGUCAUCUUGCCCACGAGGCAUGGUUUGCAAGCAUCAAAUGAUUCAUAACCAAGUGAUUCCAAAAGCCCAUUAGCAUGGAGUUUCUUCAUGCGCUUUACACCAAUAUGACCUAAAUGACAGUGCCACAAAUAAGUUGCACUAUCAUUAUUAACUUUGCAUCUUUUGGCUUCAAUAUUAUGAAUAUAUGUAUCACUACGAUCAAGAUUCAAUAAACCAUUCACCUUGGGUGUAUGACCAUUGAAGGUUUUAUUCAUGUAAACAGAACAACAAUUAUUCUCCGACUUUAAAUGAAUAACCUUAUUGCAAAAAAACAUGAUCAAAUCAUAUUCAUGCUUAACGAAAACACCAAAUAACAUUUAUUUAGGUUCAACACUAAUCCUGAAAGUAUAGGGAGUGUGCAAUGAUGAUCAUAUCAAUCUUGGAACAACUUCCAACACACGUCGUCACUUCACCCUUAACUAGUCUCUGUUCAUUCUGCAACUCCCGUUUUGAGUUACUAAUCUCAGAAACUGAACUAAUAUCAAAUACUAAGGGGUUGCUAUAAACACUAGUAAAGUAAACAUCAAUAACAUGUAUAUCAAAUAUACCUUUGUUCACUUUGCCAUCCUUCUUAUCCGCCACAUACUUGGGGCAGUUAUGCUUCCGGUGACCAGUCCCUUUGUAGUAGAAGCACUUAGUCUCAGGCUUAGGUCUAGACUUGGGCUUCUUCACUUGAGCAGCAACUUGCUUGUCGUUCUUCUUAAAGUUACCCUUCUUCCCUUUGCCCUUUUCUUGAAACUAGUGGUCUUGUCAACCAUCAACACUUGAUGUUUUUCUUGAUUUCUACCUUCGUCGAUUUCAGCAUCACGAAGAGCUUGGGAAUCGUUUCCCUUAUCCCUUGCAUAUUAUAGUUCAUCGUGAAGUUCCAGUAACUUGGUGAUAGUGACUAGAGAACUCUGUCAAUCACUAUCUUAUCUAGAAGAUUAACUCCCACUUGAUUCAAGUGAUUGUAAUACUCAGACAUUCUGAUCACAUGCUCACUAGCUGAGCUAUUCUCCUCCAUCUUGUAGGCAAAAUGCUUGUCAAAGUUCUCCGUGGUGUUCAAAACGUCUUUGAAGCCCCGAUUCUAGGUCGUAAAGCAUGGUGCACUAAACUAUCAAGUAGUCAUCAUAUCGAGCUCGCCAAACGUUCAUAACGUCUGCAUCUGCUCCUGCAGUCGGUCUGUCACCUAGCGGUGCAUUAAGGACAUAAUUCUUCUGUGCAGCAAUGAGGAUAAUCCUCAGAUCACGGAUCCAAUCCGCAUCAUUGCUACUAACAUUUUUCAACUUUGUUUUUCUCUAGGAACAUAUCAAAUAUAAACGAGGAGCUACAUCGCGAGCCAUUGAUCUACAACAUAGUUAUGCAAAUACUAUCAGGACUAAGUUCAUGAUAAAUUAAAGUUCAAUUAAUCAUAUUACUUAAGAACUCCCAGUUAGAUGGACAUACCUCUAAUCAUCUAAGUGAUCACGUGAUCCAAAUCAACUAAACCAUGACCGAUCAUCACGUGAAAUGGAGUAGUCUUCAAUGGUGAACAUCACUAUGUUGAUCAUAUCUACUAUAUGAUUCACGCUCGACCUUUCGGUCUCAGUGUUCCGAGGCCAUAUAUGUAUAUGCUAGGCUCGUCCAGUUUAACCCGAGUAUUCUGCAUGUGCAAAACUGGCUUGCACCCGUUGUAUAAGAACGUUGAGCUUAUCACACCCGAUCAUCACGUGGUGUCUCGGCACGACGAACUUUUGCAACGGUGCAUACUCAGGGAGAACACUUGUACCUUGAAAUUUUUAGUGAGAGAUCAUCUUAUAAAGCUACCAUCGAACAAAGCAAAAUAAGAUGCAUACAGGACAAACAUGCAAUCAAAAUAUGUGACAUGAUAUGGCCAUGAUCAUCUUGCGCCUUUGAUCUCCAUCUGCAAAGUAUCGUCAUGAUCUCUAUCGUCACCGGCAUGACACCAUGAUCUCCAUCAUCUUGAUAUCUAUCAAUGUGUCGUCACAUGGUCGUCUCGCCAACUAUUUCUUUUGCAACUAUUGCUAUCGCAUAGCGAUAAAGUAAAGCAAUUACAUGGCACUUGCAUCUUAUGCAAUAAGAGACAACCAUAAGGCUUUUGCCAGUUGUCGAUAACAUUAACAAAACAUGAUCAUCUCAUACAACAAAUUAUAUCUCAUCACGUCUUGACCAUAUCACAUCACAACAUGCCCUGCAAAAACAAGUUAGACAUCCUCUAAUUUGUUGUUGCAAGUUUUACGUGGCUGCUAUGGGCUGAGCAAGAACUGUUCUUACCUACGCAUCAAAACCACAACGAUAGUUCGUCAAGUUAGUGAUGUUUUAACCUUCAACAAGGACCGGGCGUAGUCACACUCGGUUCAAUUAAAGUUGGAGAAACUGACACCCGACAGCCACCUGUGUGCAAAGCACGUCAGUAGAACCAGUCUCGCAUAAGCGUACGCGUAAUGUCGGUCCGGGCCGCUUCAUCCAACAAUACCGUUGAACCAAAGUAUGACAUGCUAGUAAGCAGUAUGACUAGUAUCGCCCACAACUCACUUAUGUUCUACUCGUGCAUAUAACAUCUACGCAUAAACCUGGCUCGGAUGUCACUGUUGGGGAAUGUAGUAAUUUCAAAAAAAGUCCUACGCACACGCAAGAUCAUGGUGAUGCAUAGCAAUGAGAGGGAAGAGUAUCGUCCAUGUACCCUCGUAGACCGUAAGCGGAAGCGUUAUGAGAACGCGGUUGAUGUAGUAGAACGUCUUCACGAUCCGACCGAUCCAAGUACCGAACGCACGGCACCUCCGAGUUCAGCACACAAUCAGCUUGAUGACGUCCCACGAACUCCGAUCCAGCAGAGCUUCACGGGAGAGUUCCGUCAGCACGACGGCGUGAUGACAGUGAUGAUGUUUCUACCGACGCUGGGCUUCGCCUAAGCACCGCUACGAUAUGAUCGAGGUGGAUUAUGGUAGAGGGGGUACCGCACAUGGCUAAGGGAUCAAUGAUCAACUUGUGUGUUCUAGGGUGCCCCCUGCCCCCGUAUAUAAAGGAGCAAGGGGAGGGGGCUGGCGGCCUCAUAGGGUGCGCCCCAAGGGGGGAAUCCUAGGAGUAGGAUUCCCCUUUUCCUAGUACAACUAGGAGGGGAAGGAAAGAGGAGGAGAGGAGAAGGAAAGAGGGGGCCGGCCCCCAAAGCUCUAAACCAAUUCAGUUUGGGCCUAGGGGGGCGCACCCUACACUUCCUUGUUGUCCUCUAUUUCCACUAAAGCCCACGAAGGCCCAUUGACCCUCCCGAUGAAUUCCCGUAACUCUCCGAUACUCCAAAAAAUACCCGAAUCACUCGGAACCUUUCCGAUGUCCGAAUAUAGUCGUCCAAUAUAUCGAUCUUUACGUCUCGAUCAUUUCGAGACUCCUUGUCAUGUCCCCUAUCUCAUCCGGGACUCCGAACUACCUUCGGUACAUCAAAACACAUAAACUCAUAAUACCGAUCGUCAUCGGACGUUAAGCGUGCGGACCCUACGGGUUCGAGAACUAUGUAGACAUGACAGAGACUCGUCUCCGGUCAAUAACCAAUAGCGGAACCUGGAUGCUCAUAUUGGCUCCAACAUAUUAAACGAAGAUCUUUAUCGGUCAAACCGCAUAACAACAUACAUUGUUCCCUUUGUCAUCGGUAUGUUACUUGCCCAAGAUUCGAUCGUCGGUAUCCUCAUACCUAGUUCAAUCUCGUUACCGGCAAGUCUCUUUACUCGUUCUGUAAUGCAUCAUCCCGCAACUAACUCAUUAGUUGCAUUGCUUGCAAGGCUUAUAGUGAUGUGCAUUACCGAGAGGGCCCAGAGAUACCUCUCCGAUAAUCGGAGUGACAAAUCCUAAUCUCGAUCUAUGCCAACUCAACAAGUACCAUCGGAGACACCUAUAGAGCACCUUUAUAAUCACCCAGUUACGUUGUGACGUUUGGUAGCACACAAGGUGUUCCUCCGUUACUCGGGAGUUGCAUAAUCUCAUAGUCAUAGGAACAUGUAUAAGUCAUGAAGAAAGCAAUAGCAACAAACUAAACGGUCAUUGUGCUAAGCUAACGGAUGGGUCAAGUCAAUCACAUCAUUCUCUAAUGAUGUGAUCCCGUUAAUCAAAUGAAAACUCAUGUCUAUGGUUAGGAAACAUAACCAUCAUUGAUUCAACGAGCUAGUCAAGUAGAGGGAAACUAGUGACACUCUGUUUGUCUAUAUAUUCACACAUGUACUAAGUUUCCGGUUAAUACAAUUCUAGCAUGAAUAAUAAACAUUUAUCAUUAUAUAAGGAAAUAAAUAAUAACUUUAUUAUUGCCUCUAGGGCAUAUUUCCUUCAAACAUGCCCUACAAAAACAAGUUAGACAUCCUCUACUUUGUUGUUGCAAGUUUAUGUGGCAGCUACGGGCUUCUAGCAAGAACUGUUCUUACCUACGCAUCAAAACCACAACGACCUUUCAUCAAGUGUGUUGUUUUAACCUUCAACAAGGACCAGCCAUAGUCAAACUCGAUUCAACUAAAGUUGGAGAAACAGACACCCGCUAGCCACCUGUGUGCGAAGCAUGUCGGUAGAACCAGUCUCAUGAACGCGGUCAUGUAAUGUCGAUUCGGGCCGCUUCAUCCAACAAUACCGCCGAAUCAAAGUAAGACGUUGGUGGUAAGCAUUAUGACUAUUAUCGCCCACAACUCAUUGUGUUCUACUCGUGCAUAUAUCAUCUAUGCAUAGAUGAUACGUCUCCAUCGUAUCUACUUUUCCAAACACUUUUGCCCUUGUUUUGGACUCUAACUUGCAUGAUUUGAAUGGAGCUAACCCGGACUGACGUUGUUUUCAGCAAAAUUACCAUGGUGUUAUUUAUGUGCAGAAACAAACAUUCUCAGAAUGACCUGAAACUUCACGAAGCAACUUUUCAAAAAAAUAUGAAAAAUACCUGCAAAAGAUGAAGGCCAGGGGGCCCACCACCUCUCCACGAGGGUGGGGGCGCGCCUGCCCCCCUAGGGCGUGCCCCCUACCUCGUGGGCCCCCUGUUGCCUCUCCAACUCCAACUCCAACUCCAUAUACUGUGUUUCGGGGAGAAAAAAAUCAGGGAGAAGAAAUCAUCGCGUUUUACGAUACGGAGCCGCCGCCAAGCCCUAAAACCUCUCAGGAGGGCUGAUCUGGAGUCCGUUUGGGGCUCCGGAGAGGGGAUCCGUCGCCAUCGUCAUCAUCAACCAUCCUCCAUCACCAAUUUCAUGAUGCUCACCGCCGUGCGUGAGUAAUUCCAUCGUAGGCUUGAUGGACGUUGAUGGGUUGGAUGGGAUCUAUCAUGUAAUCGAGUUAGUUUUGUUAGGGUUUGAUCCCUAGUAUCCACUAUGUUCUGAGAUUGAUGUUGCUAUGACUUUGCUAUGCUUAAUGCUUGUCACUAGGGCCCGAGUGCCAUGAUUUCAGAUCUGGACCUAUUAUGUUUUCAUCAAUAUAUGAGUGUUCUUGAUCCUAUCUUGCAAGUCUAUAGUCACCUAUUAUGUGUUAUAUCCGUUAACCCCAAAGUGACAAUAAUCGGGAUACUUACCGGUGAUGACCGUAGUUUGAGGAGUUCAUGUAUUCACUAUGUGUUAAUGCUUUGUUCCGGUUCUCUAUUAAAAGGAGGCCUUAAUAUCCCUUAGUUUCCGUAAGGACCCCGCUGCCACGGGAGGGUAGGAAAAAAGAUGCCAUGCAAGUUCUUUUACAUAAGCACGUAUGACUAUAUUCGAAAUACAUGCCUACAUUAUAUCAAUGAACUAGAGCUAGUUCUGUGUCACCCUAGGUUAUGACUGUUACAUGAUGAACCGCAUCCGGCAUAAUUCUCCAUCACCGAUCCAUUGCCUACGAGCUUUCCAUAUAUUGUUCUUCGCUUAUUUACUUUCCUGUUGCUAUUGCUAUCAUCACUACAAAAUACCAAAAACAUUACUUUUACUACUGUUACCUUUUGCUACCGUUAUCACUACUAUCAUAUUACUUUGCUACUAAACACUUUGCUGCAGAUAUUAAGUUUCCAGGUGUGGUUAAAUUGACAACUCAGUUGCUAAUACUUGAGAAUAUUCUUUGGCUCCCCUUGUGUCGAAUCAAUAAAUUUGGGUUGAAUACUUUACCCUCGAAAACUGUUGCGAUCCCCUAUACUUGUGGGUUAUCAAGACUAUUUUCUACGCCAUUGUCGGGGAGCAUAGCUCUAUUCUUUGAGUCACUUGGGAUAUAUAUAUGCUUAUCAUUAUGAAGAACUUGAGAGAUCCAAAAACCAAGAUCUAUCCCUCAACUACGAGGGGAGGUAAGGAACUGCCAUCUAGCUCUGCACUUGAUUCACCUUCUAUUUUGAGUAAGCUUGCGACACCUACACCUGCUUCUGCUAUUCGUUCUGAUAUGUUGCAUGUUAUUGAUGAUGCCACUUCUGCUAUGCAUGAUACUUAUGAUGAAACUACCUCUAUGCCUGAUACUACUGUGCCACUUAGUGAUUUUCUUGAUGAACAACUUGCUAGGGCUAGAGAGAUUGAAAAUAUUGAAUCUGAUGAUACUAAUUAAAGUGAUGAUGAAGAAUCACUUGUUAUUCCUAAGGGUUAUGUUUUUGAUCAAGAAGCUUCUUUAGCUAUUUUAGCUUGCAAAAAUAGAAAUGAACUCAAAAGGUUAUUAGCUAAAUGGAGUAAGCAAUCUCUAAAUGCUAGAAUGAAACCUGACCCUGCUUUUGCUACUUCACCUAUCUUUGUUACUGAUAAGGAUUAUGAAUUCUCUGUUGAUCUUGAUAUAAUUACUUUGGUUGAAUAUGAUCCUUUUCAUGGUUAUGAAUCUGAAACUGUUGUGGCACAUCUUACUAAAUUGAAUGAUAUAGCCACCCUGUUCACUAAAGAUGAGAGAACUCGUUACUUUUACAUCCUCAAAAUAUUUCCGUUCUCAUUAAAGGGUGAUGCUAAGAUAUGGUUUAAUUCUCUUGAUCCUAGUUGUGUGCGUAGUCCCCAAGAUAAGGAUAUGAUUUAUUACUUCUCUGCUAAAUAUUUCCCUGCUCAUAAGAAACAAGCUGCUUUAAGGGGUAUAUAUAAUUUUGUGCAAAUUGAAGAAGAAAGUCUCCCACAAGCUUGGGGGAGGCUUCUCCAAUUACUUAAUGUUUUGCCUGAUCAUCCUCUUAAGAAAAAUGAAAUACUUGAUAUCUUCUAUAAUGGACUAACCGAUGCCUCCAGAGAUUACCUGGAUAGUUGUGUUGGUUCUGUUUUCAGGGAAAGAACACCGGAUGAAGCUGAAAUUCUAUUGAAUAAUAUGUUGACAAAUGAAAAUAAUUGGACACCUCCGGAGCCAAUUCCUGAGCCUAUUCCUAAACCAACUCCGAAGAAGAGGGGUAUUCUAUUUCUCAAUCCUGAAGAUAUGCAAGAGGCAAAGAAAUCUAUGAAAUAAAAAGGUAUUAAAGCUGAAGAUGUUAAGAAUGUACCUCCUAUGGAAGAAAUACAUGGUCUUAAUCUACCGCAUGUUGAAGAAAUACAUGAUCUUAAUCCUUUACCUAUUGAAGAAACUCAUGGUCUUGAUAACCGGACACAGGUAGUAAAGGUAAAUUCUCUCUAUAGAUAUGAUAAAGCUGAAAUCCCAUUUACUAAAUUUGCUAGCCCAUGCUUAGAUGAGUUUGAUAAAUUUAUGGCUAAGCAAGAAGACUUUAAUGCUUAUUUUGGUAGACAAUUGAAAUACAAUUAAAAUAUGCUUGAACACUUGGGUGAUUAUAUGGCUAAUGUUAAAGGUGAACUUAAACUUAUUAGUAAACAUGCUUCUAUGGUUACCACUCAAGUAGAACAAGUACUUAAAGCUCAAAAUGAUUUGCUCAAUGAAUUGAAUAGUAAAGAUAAUGAUAAUGCUGUUAGAGUGGCUACUAGAACUGGUAAAAUGACUCAGGAACCUUUGUAUCCUGAAGGCCAUCCUAAGAGAAUUGAGCAAGAUUCUCAGAGAAAUAAUAUAGAUGCACCUAGUUCUUCUAAAAAGAAGAAAAAGAAAAAUGAUAGGACUUUGCAUGCUUCUAGUGAUCCUAUUGUUGAAACACCUGAGAACCCAAAUGAUAUUUCUAUUUCUGAUGCUGAAACACAAUCUGGUAAUGAACCUGAAACUAGUGGUAAUGUUAAUGAUAAUGUUCAUGAUGAUGCUCAACCUAGUAAUGAUAAUGAUAUAGAAAUUGAACCUGCUGUUGAUCUUGAUAACCCACAAUCAAAGAAUCAACGUUAUGAUAAGAAAGACUUUGUUGCUAGGAAACAUGGUAAAGAAAGAGAGCCUUGGGUUCAGAAACCCAUGCCUUUUCCUCCCAAACCAUCUAAGAAAAAGGAUGAUGAGGAUUUUGAGCGCUUUGCUGAAAUAAUUAGACCUAUCUUUUUGCGUAUGCGAUUAACUGAUAUGCUCAAAACCAAUCCUUAUGCUAAGUACAUGAAAGAUAUUAUUACAAAUAAAAGAAAGAUACCGGAAGCUGAAAUUUUCACCAUGCUUGCUAAUUAUACUUUUAAGGGUGGAAUACCAAAGAAACUUGGAGAUCCUGGUGUACCCACUAUACCAUGCUCUAUUAAAAGAAACUAUGUCAAAACUGCUUUAUGUGAUCUUGGAGCCGGUGUUAGUGUUAUGCCUCUCUCUUUAUAUCGUAGACUUGAUUUGAAUAAGUUGACACCUACUGAAAUAUCUUUGCAAAUGGCUGAUAAAUCAACUGCUAUACCUGUCGGUAUUUGUGAGGAUGUGCCUGUUGUAGUUGCAAACGUUACUAUGUUAACGGACCUCGUUAUUCUUGAUAUUCCCGAGGACGAUAGUAUGUCUAUUAUUCUUGGAAGACCAUUUUUGAAUACUGCAGGGGCUGUUAUUGAUUGCAUUAAAGGCAAUGUCACUUUUCAUGUUAAUGGUAAUGAGCAUACGGUACACUUUCCGAGGAAACAACCUCAAGUUCAUAGUAUCAACUCUAUUGGAAAAAUUCCAUCGAUUAUAUUUGGAAGUUUUGAAUUUCCUCUUCCUACUGUCAAGAAGAAAUAUGAUAUUCUUAUUAUUGGGGAUGUGCAUAUCCCCGUUGAGGUAACAUAGUGUUAUUCAAAAUUUCUCCGGUUCCAUGUUAUUCGGAAUGAGUUCGUUAACAAGACUUGAUCAACCUUGUUAGUGGAUUCCUUUUGAUGAUCAUGAGAUGGAUGAAACUAGAAGGCACAACCUUCUGUACCCCACUUUUACUUUCUGUUAUUUAUAUUAAAUAAAAUAAAAACAAUUUUUUCUGACUGUUAUAUGAUUAUCCGUGCAAUAUAAAAAUACCUCAAAAAUAAAAGUUCUCCAAAUGCCCUGAAAUUUAAAUAUGAUUAUUUCUAGAAUAUUUGAGAAUAUUUGGCACUGAGAACACAGCAGGGGGGUCGACCACCUGCCCACGAGGGUGGAGGGCGCGCCCUACCCCCCUGGGCGCGCCCCCUGCCUCGUGGGCCCAUGGUGGCCCUCCUCCACUUAUCCUUUCACCCAUACACUUCUUCUUCCUCCCAUAAACACGAAUAACCAGCUCAAACCCGAGUCCAAGCUCGUCUUGCUGCCAUUUUCGAUCUCCUUGCUCAAAGCACCUCUCACAAAACUGCUUGGGGAAAUUGUUCCUUGGUAUGUGACUCCUCCAUUGGUCCAAUUAGUUUUUGUUCUAGUGCUUUAUUCAUUGCAAUUUUUUGCUGCUUAGGUGACCCUGUUCUUGAGCUUGCAUGCCAAAUUUAUAUGGUCAAAAGUAGUUUUGAUGCAUGAUAUAGGCUCUAGGCACUUGUAGGAGUAGUUGAUAUCAAUAUUAUUGAGUUUGGUUUACUUUUAUUUUGAAGUUACUAAAAAAAUUCAGAAUUUUUCAGAGGAAGAAAUAUGCUUAGGAAAAUGUUCCAAGGUGGUUCUUCAAGGAACCAAGGACCCAGGCUUGCAAUGCGUGAUGCUGAUGACGAGCCACCAAGAGACGCUCCAGUGCAUCCUUGUGAAUGGCCUUCUGAAAAUUUUAUGGAUCGAGAAGGAAUUAAGGAGGAAUUCAACGCAUAUUUGCGUAACGCCGAUCUUGUGAGCUUCGAAGAAGAGAAGUGCAGUCAGUAUCACAACCUCACCAGUACCUUUGUGAGGAGGUUUGAAUUUUCAACUUCAUGUAAUUCCCCAACUGUCUUGUUUGAUCUUUAUGAAAAUUCUUAUACUAUGGACUUAGAGGAUUUUACCACUGCAUGCAAACUUCCACAAUGGGGUAGUAUAAGGGAUCCUAGCAAAUCUGAAUUUAGAGAUUUUCUUGCUAGCAUAACUGUGGGAGAAUCUAGAGAUAUUACACAAGCUACCAUAGGGAGCAUUCACUUUCCUGCUAUACAUUACUUUGCUCUCUUCAUAGGUAGAUGCAUUAAUGGUAAAGAUGAGGCAUGUCACAUGUGUGUCCCUGACCUCAGUAUUCUUAGGAGUGCUGUGUUAGGAGAUAAAUCUUAUAAUUUGGGAGCCAUUAUUGCACAUAGGUUGCAUCUUAAUAGAUUUAAUGGAGAUUUCUUUGGUGGAAUUUAUGCAACCCGCAUAGCUAAUUUUCUUGGUGUAGCCAUACGCAAAGAUGAUAUUGAAUUACCUCCUGCUUAUCUAGAUUUUAAUGCUAUGGUUCACCACCAGUUUGUCGAGAGGAACGAAUCACCUCUCCAGUAUCGACUAAUCUUUGACAUACAUCGUGAUGUCUGUAUUACUCUCCCUGCUCCUGCCUUCUUUGAUUAUCAGGCAAGAGGAAGAUAUACUAUUACCAGAGAGGAGGCAGAUGAGUAUGAGAGGAGAGCGGAGGCCGCUCGUCGCCACGCUGCAGCUCAGCAGGCGAUAGCCGCUGCAUCGCAGUACGACCCCAACUAUUAUUAUGGAUAUCCGCCAGGCCAGCCGUGGCCAUAGACCAACUUAGGCCAAAAUCCUAAGCUUGGGGGAGUAUGUAUUUCCCACCGACAUUACAUUUAUGUUCACACACUCAUUGCUAGAUGUCGGUGCUCAUACUUUUUCAUUGUAUCAUCCAUGCUAGUUUAAUUUCCUUUUUAUGCUUUCUUCUUGUGUGUUUAAUAAACCUUAAGAAAAACCAAAAAAUUAGUUGUAGCUUUUAGCUAGUUUUAAUUUUCAUCCUUGUAGUAGUAAUUGAAAAGAAAACCCAAAAAUAUUUCAUGUUCUUCUUUUCCUUGUUGGGAGCUUUCCCGUGUAAAUAGUUUUAUUUCUUUUCUUUCCUUUGGGGGUCGAUAGGAGAAGACCAUAAUUAAAUUGUUGAAAUGGCUCUUAUAUGCAUUAUUGUUUAUCUGACAAAAGAGCCCAUAUUGCCUUGUCUUCUCCUGUUCAUAGAAUGCCUACAAAUUCUAGCUUAGUCCAAUGCACGUGCACUAUUAUUAUUAUUAUUCACAUCAUUCGAUCGUGCAAGUGAAAGGCAAUUAUGAUGAUAUAUGAUGGACUGGAUGAGAUGAGAAAAGCUGGUAUGAACUCGACCUCUUUUGUUUUUGUAAAUAUGAUUAGUUCGUCGUUCCUGAUUCAGCCUAUUAUGAAUAAACAUGUUUGCAAUGACAAUUAGAGAUCAUAGUUUCUUGUGCCAUGCUUGAUUAGCUAUGAGUUAUAAUGGUUUACCUUGCGUGCCAACAUGUUAUUGAAAUGGUUAUGAUGUGGUAUGAUAGGGUGGUAUCCUUCUCUGAAUGAUUUAAGUGACUUGACUUGGCGCAUGUUCACGCAUGUAGUUGAAACAAAAUCAACAUAGCCUUCAUGAUAUUUAUGUUCAUGGUGGAUUAUAUCCUACUCAUGCUUGCAUUUGGUGUUGAUUAAUUUUAAUGCAUGUUCAUGACUGUUGUCGCUCUCUAGCUAGUCGCUUCCCAGUCUUUUGCUAGCCUUCACCCUUACUAAGCGGGAAUACUGCUUGUGCAUCCAAUCCCUUAAACCCCAAAGUUAUUCCACAUGAGUCCACUUUACCUACCUAUAUACGGUAUCUACCUGCCGUUCCAAGUAAAUUUGUAUGUCCCAAACUCUAAACCUUCAAAUAAAUAUCCUGUUUUGUAUGCUCGAAUAGCUCAUGUAUCAACUAGGGCUGUCUGUAUCUUCCAUGUUAGGUGGGUUAUUCUCAAGAGGAGUGGACUUCGCUCCUCACUCGCGAGAUAAAUGGCUGGUCACCGGGAUGCCCAGUUCCAUGCUUUAUGCAAACUAAAUCAAAAUAAUUGCAAACAAAACUCCUCCUGGGACUCUUGUUAGUUGGAGGCACUCGUUGUUUCGAGCAAGCCAUGGAUUGAUGCUUGUUGGUGGAAGGGGGAGUAUAAACGUUACCAUUCUAUUUGGGAACCGCCUAUAAUGUGUGUAGCAUGGAAGAUAUCGCCAUCUCUUGGUUGUUAUGUUGACAAUGAAAGUAUACCGCUCAAAAUAUUAUUCACCUCUAUUUCAAAACCGAGCUCUGGAACCUCUACAAAUCCCUGCUUCCCUCUGCGAAGGGCCUAUCUAUUUACUUUUAUGCUGAGUCAUCAUCCUCUUAUUAAAAAGGACCAGUUGGAGAGCACCGCUAUCAUUUGCAUUCAUUACUGUUAAUUUACAUUGAGUAUGACUUGACUGGAUCUCUUUUACCAUGAAUUACAAUGUCUAGUCAGUCCUUGGUCUUUAAAGGUGCUCUGCAUUUAUGUUUUGCGGUCUCAGAAAGGGCUAGCGAGAUACCAUCUUGUUAUAUCAUAUUAUGAUUGUUUUUAGAAAGUGUUGUCAUCCGAGAUUUAUUAUUAUGGCUCGCUAGUUGAUUAUGCUAUUGAUAUGACUAAACUUGAGACCUAUGCGUUAUUGUGAAUAUGGUUAGUUAUAAUCUUUGCUGAAAACUUGAAUGAUGGCUUUACAUAUUUACAACAACAAGAGCAAACAGAGUUUGUAAAAGUUUUUCUUUAUCACUUUCAGUUUGUCAACUGAAUUGCUUGAGGACAAGCAAAGGUUUAAGCUUGGGGGAGUUGAUACGUCUCCGUCGUAUCUACUUUUCCAAACACUUUUGCCCUUGUUUUGGACUCUAACUUGCAUGAUUUGAAUGGAACUAACCCGGACUGACGUUGUUUUCAGCAGAAUUACCAUGGUGUUAUUUAUGUGCAGAAACAAACGUUCUCGGAAUGACCUGAAACUUCACAAAGCAACUUUUCAAAAAAUAUGAAAAAUAUCUGCAAAAGAUGAAGGCCAGGGGGGCCACCACCUCUCCACGAGGGUGGGGGGAGCGCCUGCCCCCCUAGGGCGCGCCCCCCUACCUCGUGGGCCCCCUUUUGCCUCUCCGACUCCAACUCCAACUCCAUAUAUUGUGUUUCGGGGAGAAAAAAAAUCAGGGAGAAGAAAUCAUCGCGUUUUACGAUACGGAGCCGCCACCAAGCCCUAAAACCUCUCGGGAGGGUUGAUCUGGAGUCCGUUCGGGGCUCCGGAGAGGGGAAUCCGUCGCCAUCGUCAUCAUCAACCAUCCUCCAUCACCAAUUUCAUGAUGCUCACCGCCGUGCGUGAGUAAUUCCAUCGUAGGCUUGCUAGACGUUGAUGGGUUGGAUGGGAUCUAUCAUGUAAUCGAGUUAGUUUUGUUAGGGUUUGAUCCCUAGUAUCCACUAUGUUCUGAGAUUGAUAUUGCUAUGACUUUGCUAUGCUUAAUGCUUGUCACUAGGGCCCGAGUGCCAUGAUUUCAGAUCUGAACCUAUUAUGUUUUCAUCAAUAUAUGCGUGUUCUUGAUCCUAUCUUGCAAGUCUAUAGUCACCUAUUAUGUGUUAUGAUCCGUUAACCCCGAAGUGACAAUAAUCGGGAUACUUACCGGUGAUGACCGUAGUUUGAGGAGUUCAUGUAUUCACUAUGUGUUAAUGCUUUGUUCCGGUUCUCUAUUAAAAGGAGGCCUUAAUAUCCCUUAGUUUCCGUAAGGACCCCGCUGCCACGGGAGGGUAGGACAAAAGAUGUCGUGCAAGUUCUUUUCCAUAAGCACAUAUGACUAUAUUCGGAAUACAUGCCUACAUUAUAUCAAUGAACUGGAGCUAGUUCUGUGUCACCCUAGGUUAUGACUGUUACAUGAUGAACCGCAUCCGGCAUAAUUCUCCAUCACCGAUCCAUUGCCUACGAGCUUUCCAUAUAUUGUUCUUCGCUUAUUUACUUUCCCGUUGCUAUUACUAUCAUCACUACAAAAUACCAAAAACAUUACUUUUACUAUUGUUACCUUUUGCUACCGUUAUCACUACUAUCAUAUUACUUUGCUGCUAAACACUUUGCUGCAGAUAUUAAGUUUUCAGGUGUGAUUGAAUUGACAACUCAGCUGCUAAUACUUGAGAAUAUUCUUUGGCUCCCCUUGUGUCGAAUCAAUAAAUUUGGGUUGAAUACUUUACCCUCGAAAAUUGUUGUGAUCCCCUAUACUUGUGGGUUAUCAAUAGACCUGGCUCGGAUGCCACUAUUGCAGAAUGUAGUAAUUCAAAAAAAUACCUACAAUCACGCAAGAUCUAUCUAGGAGAAGCAUAGAAACGAGAUGGGAGAGUGUGUCCACAUACCCUCGUAGACCGAAAGCGGAAGCGUUAUGUAACGCGGUUGAUGUAGUCGAAUGUCUUCACGAUCCAACUGAUCCAAGUACCGAAUAUACGGCACCUUCGUGUCCAGCACAUGUUCAGCACGAUGACGUCCCUCGAGCUCUUGAUCCAGUAGAGGGUCGAGGGAGAGUUCCGUCAGCACGACGGCGUGGCGACGUUGUUGGUGAUGUGAUCCAUGCAGGGGUUCGCCUAAGCACCACGACAAUAUGACUGAGGUGGUAAACUGUGGAGGGGGGCAUCGCACAUGGCUGAGGAACGACUGAUGUGCCUUUGGGGUACCCCCUGCCCCCGUAUAUAAAGAAGGAGGUGAGGAGGCGGCCGGCCUAGGGGGCACGCCAAAGGGGGGAGUCCAACUAGGACUCCCAAUCCUAGUUGGACUCCCUUUCCUUUUCUGGAGGGGGGAAAGAGGGAAGGGAGAGGAAGAGGAGAAGGAAGGGGGGCUCCCUAGUCCAAUUCGGACUCCCUAUAGGGAGGGGGCGCAGCUACCCCUUGUGGACUGCCUCCCCUCUCCUCUAUAGCCCAUGUAGGCCCAAUAUUCCCCCGGGGGGUUCCGGUAACCCCUCGGUACCCCGGAAAAAUCCCCGAAUCACUCGGAACCAUUCCGAUGUCUGAAUACAACCUUCCAAUAUAUGAAUCUUUACCUCUCGGCCAUUCUGAGACUCCUCGUCAUGUCUCUGAUCUCACCCGGGACUCUGAACAAACUUCGGUCACCAAAACACAUAACUCAUAAUACAAAUCGUCAUCGAACGUUAAGCGUGCGAACCCUACGGGUUCGAGAACUAUGUAGACAUGACCGAGACAUAUCUCCGGUAAAUAACCAAUAGCGGAACCUGGAUGCUCAUAUUGGCUCCUACAUAUUCUACGAAGAUCUUUAUCGGUCAAACUGCAUAACAACAUACGUUAUUCCCUUUGUCAUCGGUAUGUUACUUACCCGAGAUUUGAUCAUCGGUAUCAUCAUACCUAGUUCAAUCUCGUUACCGGCAAGUCUCUUUACUCGUUCUGUAAUGCAUCAUCCCGCAACUAACUCAUUAGUUACAUUGCUUGCAAGGCUUAUAGUGAUGUGCAUUACCGAGAGGGCCCAGAGAUACCUCUCCGAUGCACGGAGUAACAAAUCCUAAUCUCGAUAUAUGCCAACUCAACAAACACCAUCGGAGACACCUAUAGAGCAUCUUUAUAAUCACCCAGUUACGUUGUGACGUUUCAUAGCACACAAGGUGUUCCUCCGGUAUUCGGGAGUUGCAUAAUCUCAUAGUCAGAGGAAUAUGUAUAAGUCAUGAAGAAAGCAAUAGAGAUAAAACUAAACGAUAAUUUGUUGGGGAACAUAGUAAUUUCAAAAUUUUCCUAUGCACACGCAAGAUCAUGGUGAUGCAUAGCAACGAGAGGGGAGAGUGUUGUCUACAUACCCUCAUAGACCGACAGCGGAAGCGUUACGACAACGCGGUUGAUGUAGUCGUACGUCUUCACGGCCCGUCCGAUCAAGCACCGAAACUAUGGCACCUCCGAGUUCUAGCACACGUUCAGCUUGAUGACGAUCCCCGGACUCCGAUCCAGCAAAGUGUCGGGGAAGAGUUCCGUCAGCACGAUGGCGUGGUGACGAUCUUGAUGUUCUACUGUCGCAGGGCUUCGCGUAAGCACCACUACAAUAUUACCGAGGACUAUGGUGGAAGGGGGCACCGCACACGGCUAAGAGAACGAUGUUAGAGAUCAACUUGUGUGUCUAGGGGUGCCCCUACCCCCGUAUAUAAAGGAGCCAAGGGAGGGUGCGGCCGGCGCUAGGAGGAGGCGCGCAGGAGGAGUCCUACUCCUACCGGGAGUAGGACUCCCCUCCCUUUCCCUAGUUGGAUUAGGACUUGGGGGGAAGGAGGAGAGAGAAGAAAGGAAAGGGGGGCGCCGCCCCCCUCCUUAUCCAAUUCGGAGUUGGGGGGAGGGGCGCGCGGCAGCCCCUAGGCCUCCUCUCCUCUUUCUCCACUAGGCCCAUUAAGGCCCAUUAGGUUACCGGGGGGUUCCGGCAACCUCCCGGUACUCCGGUAAAAUGCCGAUUUCACCCGGAACACUUCCGAUGUCCAAACAUAGGCUUCCAAUAUAUCAAUCUUUAUGUCUCGACCAUUUUGAGACUCCUCAUCAUGUCCGUGAUCACAUCCGGGACUCCCAACAAACUUCGGUACAUCAAAACUUAUAAACUCAUAAUAUAACUGUCAUCGAAACCUUAAGCGUGCGGACCCUACGGGUUCGAGAACAAUGUAGACAUGACCGAGACACGUCUCCGGUCAAUAACCAAUAGCGGAACAUGGAUGCUCAUAUUGGCUCCCACAUAUUCUAUGAAGAUCUUUAUCGGUCAGACCGCAUAACAACAUACGUUGUUCCCUUUGUCAUCGGUAUGUUACUUGCCCGAGAUUCGAUCGUCGGUAUCUCAAUACCUAGUUCAAUCUCGUUACUGGCAAGUCUCUUUACUCGUUUCGUAAUACAUCAUCUCACAACUAACUCAUUAGUUGCAAUGCUUGCAAGGCUUAUGUGAUGUGCAUUACCGAGAGGGCCUAGAGAUAACUCUCCGACAAUCGGAGUGACAAAUCCUAAUCUCAAAAUACGCCAACCCAACAUGUACCUUUGGAGACACCUGUAGAGCUCCUUUAUAAUCACCCAGUUACGUUGUGACAUUUGGUAGCACACAAAGUGUUCCUCCGGCAAACGGGAGUUGCAUAAUCUCAUAGUCAUAGGAACAUGUAUAAGUCAUGAAGAAAGCAAUAGCAACAUACUAAACGAUCGGGUGCUAAGCUAAUGGAAUGGGUCAUGUCAAUCACAUCAUUCUCCUAAUAAUGUGAUCCUAUUAAUCAAAUGACAACACAUGUCUAUGGUUAGGAAACAUAACCAUCUUUGAUUAACGAGCUAGUCAAGUAGAGGCAUACUAGUGACGUUUAGUUUUGUCUAUGUAUUCACACACGUAUUAUGUUUCCGGAUAAUACAAUUCUAGCAUGAAUAAUAAACAUUUAUCAUGAUAUAAGGAAAUAAAAUAAUAACAUUAUUAUUGCCUCUAGGGCAUAUUUCCUUCAGUCUCCCACUUGCACUAGAGUCAAUAAUCUAGAUUACACAGUAAUGAUGCUAACACCCAUGGAGCUUUGGUGUUGAUCAUGUUUUGCUCGUGGAAGAGGCUUAGUCAACGGGUCUGCAACAUUCAGAUCCGUAUGUAUCUUGCAAAUCUCUAUGUCUCCCACCUGGACUAGAUCCCGGAUGGAAUUGAAGCGUCUCUUGAUGUGCUUGGUUCUCUUGUGAAAUCUGGAUUCCUUUGCCAAGGCAAUUGCACUAGUAUUGUCAUAAAAGAUUUUCAUUGGACCCGAUGCACUAGGUAUGACACCUAGAUCGGAUAUGAACUCCUUCAUCCAGACUCCUUCAUUUGCUGCUUCCGAAGCAGCUAUGUACUCCGCUUCACAUGUAGAUCCCGCCACAACACUUUGUUUAGAACUGCACCAACUGACAGCUCCACCGUUUAAUGUAAACAUGUAUCUGGUUUGCGAUUUAGAAUCUUCCGGAUCAGUGUCAAAGCUUGCAUCAAUGUAACCAUUUACGAUGAGCUCUUUGUCACCUCCAUAUAUGAGAAACAUAUCCUUAGUCCUUUUCAGGUAUUUCAGGAUGUUCUUGACCGCUGUCCAGUGAUCCAGUCCUGGAUUACUUUGGUACCUCCCUGCUAGACUUAUAGCAAGACACACAUCAGGUCUGGGACACAGCAUUGCGUACAUGAUAGAGCCUAUGGCUGAAGCAUAGGGAACAUCUUUCAUUUUCUCUCUAUCUUCUGCAUUGGUCGGGCAUUGAGUCUUACUCAAUUUCACACCUUGUAACACAGGCAAGAAUCCUUUCUUUGCUUGAUCCAUUUUGAACUUCUUCAAAACUUUGUCAAGGUACGUGCUUUGUGAAAGUCCAAUUAAGCGUCUUGAUCUAUCUCUAUAGAUCUUAAUGCCCAAUAUGUAAGCAGCUUCACCGAGGUCUUUCAUUGAAAAACUCUUAUUCAAGUAUCCCUUUAUGCUAUCCAGAAAUUCUAUAUCAUUUCCGAUUAGUAAUAUGUCAUCUACAUAUAAUAUCAGAAAUGCUACAGAGCUCCCACUCACUUUCUUGUAAAUACAGGCUUCUCCAAAAGUCUGUACAAAACCAAAUGCUUUGAUCACACUAUCAAAGCGUUUAUUCCAACUCCGAGAGGCUUGCACCAGUCCAUAAAUGGAUCGCUGGAGCUUGCACACUUUGUUAGCUCCCUUUGGAUCGACAAAACCUUCCGGCUGCAUCAUAUACAACUCUUCUUCCAGAAAUCCAUUCAGGAAUGCAGUUUUGACAUCCAUCUGCCAUAUUUCAUAAUCAUAAAAUGCAGCAAUUGCUAACAUGAUUCGGACAGACUUAAGCAUCGCUACGGGUGAGAAGGUCUCAUCAUAGUCAAUCCCUUGAACUUGUUGAAAACCUUUUGCAACAAGUCGAGCUUUGUAGACGGUAACAUUACCAUCAGCGUCAGUCUUCUUCUUGAAGAUCCAUUUAUUCUCAAUUGCUUGCCGAUCUUUUGGCAAGUCAACCAAAGUCCACACUUUGUUCUUACAUGGAUCCCAUCUCAGAUUUCAUGGCUUCAAGCCAUUUUGUGGAAUCUGGGCUCACCAUCGCUUCUCCAUAGUUCAUAGGUUCAUCAUGAUCUAGUAGCAUGACUUCCAGAACAGGAUUACCGUACCACUCUGGUGCGGAUCUUACUCUGGUUGAUCUACGAAGUUCAGUGGUAUAUUGUUCUGAAGUUUCAUGAUCAUCAUCAUUAGCUUCCUCAGUAAUUGGUGUAGGUGUCAUAGAAACUGGUUUCUGUGAUGUACUACUUUCCAAUAAGGGAGCAGGUACAGUUACCUCAUCAAGUUUCCUCCCACUCACUUCUUUCGAAAGAAACUCCUUCUCUAGAAAGUUUCCGAAUUUAGCAACAAAAGUCUUGCCUUCGGAUCUGUGAUAGAAGGUGUAUCCAAUAGUUUCAUUUGGAUAUCCUUUUAAGACACAUUUCUCCGAUUUGGGUUUGAGCUUAUCAGGUUGAAGCUUUUUCACAUAAGCAUCGCAGCCCCAAACUUUCAGAAACGAUAACUUUGGUUUCUUGCCAAACCACAGUUCAUAAGGCGUCGUCUCAAUGGAUUUUGAUGGUGCCCUAUUUAACGUGAAUGCGGCCGUCUCUAGAGCAUAACCCCAAAAUGAUAGCGGUAAAUCAGUAAGAGACAUCAUAGAUCGCACCAUAUCUAGUAAAGUACGAUUACGAUGUUCGGACACACCAUUACGCUGUGGUGUUCCGGGUGGCGUGAGUUGCGAAACUAUUCCGCAUUGUUUUAAAUGUACACCAAACUCGUAACUCAAAUAUUCUCCUCCACGAUCAGAUCGUAGGAAUUUUAUUUUCUUGUUACGAUGAUUUUCAACUUCACUCUGAAAUUCUUUGAACUUUUCAAAUGUUUCAGACUUAUGUUUCAUUAAGUAGAUAUACCCAUAUCUGCUUAAGUCAUCUGUGAAGGUGAGAAAAUAACGAUAUCUGCCACGAGCCUCAACAUUCAUCGGACCACAUACAUCUGUAUGUAUGAUUUCCAACAAAUCUGUUGAUCUCUCCAUAGUAUCGGAGAACGGUGUUUUUGUCAUCUUACCCAUAAGGCAUGGUUCGCAAGUACCAAGUGAUUCAUAAUCAAGUGGUUCCAAAAGUCCAUCAGUAUGGAGUUUCUUCAUGCGCUUUACACCGAUAUGACCUAAACGGCAGUGCCACAAAUAAGUUGCACUAUCAUUAUCAACACUGCAUCUUUUGGCUUCAACAUUAUGAAUAUGUGUGUCACUACUAUCAAGAUUUAAUAAGAAUAGACCAUUCUUCAUGGGUGCAUGACCAUAAAAGAUUUUACUCAUAUAAAUAGAACAACCAUUAUUCUCUGAUUUAAAUGAAUAACCGUCUCGCAUCAAACAAGAUCCAGAUAUAAUGUUCAUGCUCAACGCUGGCACCAAAUAACAAUUAUUUAGGUCUAAUACUAAUCCCGAAGGUAGAUGUAGAGGUAGUGUGCCGACCGCGAUCACAUCGGCUUUGGGACCAUUUCCCACGUGCAUCGUCACCUCGUCCUUAGCCAAUCUUUGCUUAAUCCGCAGUCCCUGUUUCGAGUUGCAAAUGUUAGCAACAGAACCAGUAUCAAAUACCCAGGUGCUACUGCGAGCAUUAGUAAGGUACACAUCAAUAACAUGUAUAUCGCAUAUACCUUUGUUCACCUUGCCAUCCUUCUUAUCCGCCAAAUACUUGGGGCAGUUCCGCUUCCAGUGACCUGUCUGCUUGCAGUAGAAGCACUCAGUUUCAGGCUUAGGUCCGGAUUUGGGUUUCUUCUCUUGAGCAGCAACUUGCUUGCUGUUCUUUUUGAAGUUCCCCUUCUUCUUCCCUUUGCCCUUUUUCUUGAAACUAGUAGUCUUGUUGACCAUCAACACUUGAUGCUCCUUCUUGAUUUCUACCUCCGCAGCUUUCAGCAUUGCGAAGAGCUCGGGAAUAGUCUUAUUCAUCCCUUGCAUAUUAUAGUUCAUCACGAAGCUCUUGUAGCUAGGUGGAAGUGAUUGGAGAAUUCUGUCAAUGACGCAAUCAUCUGGAAGAUUAAUUCCCAAUUGAAUCAAGUGAUUAUUAUACCCAGACAUUUUGAGUAUAUGCUCACUGACAGAACUGUUCUCCUCCAUCUUGCAGCUAUAGAACUUAUUGGAGACUUCAUAUCUCUCAAUCCGGGCAUUUGCUUGAAAUAUUAACUUCAACUCCUGGAACAUCUCAUAUGCUCCAUGACAUUCAAAACGUCGUUGAAGUCCCGAUUCUAAGUUGUAAAGCAUGGCACACUGAACUAUCGAGUAGUCAUCAGCUUUGCUCUGCCAGGCGUUCAUAACAUCUGGUGUUGCUCCAGCAGCAGGCCUGGCACCCAGCGGUGCUUCCAGGACAUAAUUCUUCUGUACAGCAAUGAGGAUAAUCCUCAAGUUACGGACCCAGUCCGUGUAAUUGCUACCAUAAUCUUUCAACUUUGCUUUCUCAGGGAACGCAUUAAAAUUCAACGGUCAAACAUAAACAAGCAAGAUACUAUCAGGUACUAAGUUCAUGAUAAAUUUAAGUUCAAUUAAUCAUAUUACUAAAGAACUCCCACUUAGAUAGACAUCUCUCUAAUCCUCUAAGUGAUCACGUGAUCCAAAUCAACUAAACCAUGUCCGAUCAUCACAUGAGAUGGAGUAGUUUCAUUGGUGAACAUCACUAUGUUGAUCAUAUCUACUAUAUGAUUCACGCUCGACCUUUCGGUCUCCGUGUUCCGAGGCCAUAUUUGUAUAUGCUUGGCUCGUCAAGUAUAACCUGAGUAUUCCGCGUGUGUAACUGUUUUGCACCCGUUGUAUUUGAACGUAGAGCCUAUCACACCCGAUCAUCACGUGGUGUCUCAGCACGAAGAACUUUCACAACGGUGCAUACUCAGGGAGAACACUUCUUGAUAAUUAGUGAGAGAUUAUCUUAAAAUGCUACCGUCAAUCAAAGCAAGAUAAGAUGCAUAAAAGAUAAACAUCACAUGCAAUCAAUAUAAGUGAUAUGAUAUGGCCAUCAUCAUCUUGUGCUUGUGAUAUCCAUCUUCGAAGCACCAUCAUGAUCACCAUCGUCACCGGCGUGACACCUUGAUCAUCAUCGUAGCAUCGUUGUCGUCUCGCCAAUCUUAUACUUCCACGACUAUCGCUACCGCUUAGUGAUAAAGUAAAGCAUUACAGCGCAAUUGCAUUGCAUACAAUAAAGCGACAACCAUAUGGCUCCUGCCAGUUGCCGAUAACUCAGUUACAAAACAUGAUCAUCUCAUACAAUAAAAUUUAGCAUCAUGUCUUGACCAUAUCACAUCACAACAUGCCCUGCAAAAACAAGUUAGACGUCCUCUACUUUGUUGUUGCAAGUUUUACAUGGCUGCUACGGUGUUGUUUUAACCUUCGCAAGGACCGGGCGUAGCCACACUCGGUUCAACUAAAGUUGGAGAAACUGACACCCGCUAGCCACCUUUGUGCAAAGCACAUCGGGAGAACCGGUCUCGCGUAAGCGUACGCGUAAUGUCGGCCCGGGCCGCUUCGUCCAACAAUACCGCCGAACCAAAGUAUGACAUGCUGGUAAGCAGUAUGACUUAUAUAGCCCACAACUAACUUGUGUUCUACUCGUGCAUAACAUCAAUGCAUAAAACCUAGGCUCGGAUGCCAUUGUUGGGGAACGUAGUAAUUUCAAAAUUUUCCUACGCACACGUAAGAUCAUGGUGAUGCAUAGCAACAAGAGGGGAGAGUGUUGUCUACGUACCCUCGUAGACCGACAGCGGAAGUGUUAUGACAACGCGGUUGAUGUAGUCGUACGUCUUCACGGCCCGUCCGAUCAAGCACCGAAACUACGGCACCUCCGAGUUCUAGCACACGUUCAGCUUGAUGACGAUCCCCGGACUCCAAUCUAGCAAAGUGUUGGGGAAGAGUUCCGUUAGCAUGACGGCGUGGUGACGAUCUUGAUGUUCUACUGUCGCAGGGCUUCGCCUAAGCACCACUACAAUAUUAUCAAGGACUAUGGUGGAAGGGGGCACCGCACACGGCUAAGAGAACGAUCUUAGAGAUCAACUUGUGUGUCUAGGGGUGCCCCCUGCCCCUGUAUAUAAAGGAGCCAAGGGGGGUGCGGCCGGCCCUAAGAGGAGGCGCGCAGGAGGAGUCCUACUCCUACCGGGAGUAGGACUCCCCUCCCUUUCCCUAGUUGGAUUAGGACUUGGGGGGGGGGAGGAGGAGAGGGAAGAAAGGAAAGGGGGGGUGCCGCCCCCCCUCCUUGUCCAAUUCGGACUUGGGGGGGAGGGGCACGCGGAAGCCCCUAGGCCUCCUCUCCUCUUUCUCCACUAGGCCCAUUAAGGCCCAUUAGGUUACCGGGGGGUUCCGGUAACCUCCCGGUACUCCGGUAAAAUGCCGAUUUCACCCGGAACACUUCCGAUGUCCAAACAUAGGCUUCCAAUAUAUCAAUCUUUAUGUCUCGACCAUUUCGAGACUCCUCGUCAUGUCCGUGAUCACAUCCGGGACUCCGAACAAACUUCGGUACAUCAAAACUUAUAAACUCAUAAUAUAACUGUCAUCGAAACCUUAAGCGUGCGGACCCUAUGGGUUCGAGAACAAUGUAGACAUGACUGAGACACGUCUCCGGUCAAUAACCAAUAGUGGAACCUGUAUGCUCACAUUGGCUCCCACAUAUUCUACGAAGAUCUUUAUCGGUCAGACCGCAUAACAACAUAGGUUGGUCCCUUUGUCAUCGGUAUGUUACUUGCCUGAGAUUCGAUCAUCGGUAUCUCAAUACCUAGUUCAAUCUCGUUAUCGGCAAGUCUCUUUACUCAUUUCGUAAUACAUCAUCUCACAACUAACUCAUUAGUUGCAAUGCUUGCAAGGCUUAUGUGAUGUGCAUUACCGAGAGGGCCCAGAGAUACCUCUCCGACAAUCGGAGUGACAAAUCCUAAUCUUGAAAUACGCCAACCCAACAUCUACCUUUGGAGACACCUAUAGAGCUCCUUUAUAAUCACCCAGCUACGUUGUGACGUUUGGUAGCACACAAAGUGUUCCUCCGACAAACGGGAGUUGCGUAAUCUCAUGGUCAUAGGAACAUGUAUAAGUCAUGAAGAAAGCAAUAGCAACAUACUAAACGAUCGGGUGCUAAGCUAAUGGAAUGGGUCAUGUAAAUCACAUCAUUCUCCUAAUAAUGUGAUCUUGUUAAUCAAAUGACAACACAUGUCUAUGGUUAGGAAACAUAACCAUCUUUGAUUAAUGAGCUAGUCAAGUAGAGGCAUACUAGUGACGUUUAGUUUUGUCUAUGAUUCACAUAAGUAUUAUGUUUCCGGAUAAUACAAUUCUAGCAUGAAUAAUAAACAUUUAUCAUGAUAUAAGGAAAUAAAAUAAUAACAUUAUUAUUGUCUCUAGGGCAUAUUUCCUUCAUAAUUAUGCUAAGCUAACGGAUGGGUCUUGUCUAUCACAUCAUUCUCUAAUGAUGUGAUCUCGUUCAUCAAAUGACAACACAUGUCUAUGGUUAGGAAGCUUAACCAUCUUUGAUUAACGAGCUAGUCAAGUAGAGGCAUACUAGGGACACUCUACUUUGUCUAUGUAUUCACACAUGUACUAUGUUUCCGGUUAAUACAAUUCUAGCAUGAAUAAUAAACAUUUGUCAUCAUAUAAGAAAAUAUAAAUAAUAACUUUAUUAUUGCCUCUAGGGCAUAUUUCCUUCACCUAGUGGCAUGGCUUUAGCAACAAUGACCCCUACAUCAGCUUGCGGGGCCCUUCAAUGGUGCUAUUAUUGAAGUUAGUGUGUCUCAUUCGGAAUUUUUCUUGAAAUAAACUUCAAGCUUUAUUAAUUAGAUAUAAUAGUUACAUCGUCAAUAAGGAGAGAUACACUAUCAUCCAUAGGCUCGUCAAACCAAUCCCUAGUCGCAAAAAAUUUCGCUAGCCUAGCAACUUCAUGAGCAACCUUAUUUGCUUUCCUAUUAGAAUGUUCAAACCUAGUAACAGUAAAUUCGCAAGUCAUAAAAUAGCAAUCAUCGAACACUGCCGCCGCCCGCUCCCGUCGAUUGUCCUUCAUUUUUCAUUGUGUCAAUCACUUCCAUAUUAUCCGAGUUGACAAUAAGGGGCGAUUGUACCCGCCUUCUGUGCAAGGGUAAGGCCAAACCUUAGUGCCAAUGCUUCUGUUAUUAGUACAUCAGCACAGUAGUCAAUCCUCCAACUUCCGGCAACAAUGAACCUUCCUUUAUCAUCUCUGAGGACUGCCCCUGCCGUGCCUCUAAGCAGAUCAUGGUCAAAAGAAGCAUCAACAUUUAGCUUCACAAAACCCAUGGAAGGUCUAAACCAUCCCCCUAUUUUACUGACUGCCUUAGGGGAGUUUGCUUUAACAUAGUUUGCCGUUAUAGGAUGAGCCCCCAUCGAAGUUUGAUAUGCAUCUUGAGACUUUCUUUCAUGAACUAGUUUACGUCUAUCCCACCAUAAAUACCAAGCUGUUAUAACGAUUAUUAUCACUCUGUGCCUUUCAUUGUCUUAGACCAUAUUAUGCACAAAGUAAGACUCUAUGGAAUUUGUAGUGUACGGUUCUUAUCCGGGAAAAAAUUUUGAAUACAAAUUCAAACAAAUAAAUAAUAUCUCCAUGCCAAAAUAUAGCCAACAAAAAUGUCAUAUAUGUGUAUUUGGUGGGGGGCGCAAAUAUGAGGUACUUUCUUCCAUUUUUACUACAAUUGAUGUGUUUUUAUGUGUGUCAUCCAAAGUACACCUUUGCGACCUCUUUGAUUCGAAGGAAUCCACAUGAAGUUUGGAGGGCCCUAUUCCUUAUGUUUUUUCUUUCCUUUUCCCUAAAACUUUUGUGUUUGCAUAGUUAUAAAAUAAACUAUAUAAACGUCGUUUGUUCCAUGACAACUAUCUCAUACACCUAGUCUCUUAGAAAUAUUUUAGUGCUUUCCAUAUGGUGUAGCCAAACAUCUUCCGAUAUCCAUUUUGCAUACUCAAUUCAUUAAGGAUACAACAGCCAACAGGCCAUGGCAUUCAAUCAUGUUUUUUCUUUAUUACCGCAUUAUUUGAUACGCAUGAAACAUGAAGACAAUUGAUAUUUUCAUGGUUUUGAUCCCUACAUAAAUCCAGGAUAUCCACCAUUACGACUCCUUGAGUUCCAAUGAAGUUUCUAGUUUAUCUGGCUUGUUGGUCAAGGAUAACCCCACUAAAGUCACUAUCUUGUCUCAUCGAGGAGUAUAUAAUGCAAUAAUGCAUCCUAUAAGUGGCAUUUGCUAUAAGAAGGCAAAUGCUAAAGAUCACCGAUCAUUAUCCAGAAUACAAUCAAUAAUAGAGAGACGCCAACUCUCUUAAACUUAUCUUCCUUUCUUUAUACUGAACCUAAACACAACAUGGAGCAAUCAAUCAAAAUGUACUAAAUAAAAUUUCAUCCAAAUUUCUAGUCUAGACGAGCAAGGUGGCCAACACCACUAGACGAGACAUCGUUGCACUAAGAGCACCAUUGAAGAGACGCAUAGUGGCUGGAAGAGAUCAUCAACGCUAGAGCCAUACCACCAAUGCCAAGUACCGCCACACUACCUACACACACGCCAACGACACUGAGAGUUCCACUAAGGAUGACUUGCAUUUGAUAUGGUGGAGGCACCAGCCAUGUCGCCCUAGAAAGAACGAGUUGGGGCGAGAUAGGGGCUUUUUAACCACCAUCGAUCAACUAUAAUCCUAUGCCUAAAUAUCUCAACUAUAAUCAUUCUACAUUUUUUCAUUGUCUUAGCCACGUUACGAACAAAGUAAGAAUGCACGAAAUUUGGAGGAUAAGAUUCUUAUCUGAAAAAUUCUUUGGUACCAUUUCCAACAAGUAAAUUUUAUGGAGUAAAUUUCUAGUCUGAAACAAGAUUUGGAUGAAAUUUAUUUCGAUGGUACCUGGCAUGAGGUGUCAUCCAAAUCUCAUGGGAGACAUCGCCGUGUCAUCCAAAUUUCAGACAAGUAAAUUUCAUCCACGUUAUGAACAAAGUAAUAUCUUAAACCCAUUGAAAUUUAUAUGGAGUUUGGCUAUUUCACAAGAUUUUUGGAUGGAACCUGGCAUGAGGCGUUCUAUUCAUUUGUAAUGUGUUGUUAUGUGCAUCAUCCUCUUUGAUUCAAAGAACUUGCACGCGAAAUUUGGAGGAUCCUAUUCAUUUGAAUUUAUUUCCAUAUAGCUUGGUUGCUUUGUAUAAUUAGAAACUAUAGGAACUUCUGUUUGAUCCCAUGAUGGGAUGUCAUAUGCCAAAUCUCCUUCGAAAUAUUUCAGUGCUUUUCGUGUGGUUUAACCAAACAACUUUUGUAAGGAUUUAUAUGUAUUCAGAUCAAUUAGGAUUGAACAAACCAUGCCAUCCAAUUCCUGCAUUUUUUUUCUACCGCCACAUUUUUCUUGUGGGGGCUAUCACCGCAUUAUUUGACAAGUGUGAAAUACUAAGAACAUUGAUAUUUUUCGCGGGUUUGGUUCCUAAUUUCCUACAGAAAUGAGAAAUCCAUGAUAUAUGCCACUUCAAUUCAUGACAGUAUCUAGUUUAGUUGGUCAACGAGAACCUCACCAAGUCACUAUCUUAUCAUAGUGACAAGUGAGGAGUAUACAGCGCAAUAAUGCGUCCGUCGUAUAAGUGACACUUGCUUCAAUAAGUCAAAUGCCCAUGAUCAUCAAUCAUUAUCCAAAAUACAAUCAAUAAUCGAGAUGAGUCAACUCUCCUAAACUUCUCGUGACUAGUCCUUCUCUGCAUUCGGCCCUAAGAUUACCCACAAUGGGAGUAACAUAGAUAGUAACAUCACACAUAUCUAGAUAAAAUAGAUGAUGUGGCAAGCAAUAAGUGAAGAAAUAGAAGGAAGUGGUAACAUAGCUAGUUAAUAGUAGUAUGAGUAAUAUCACACAUAUCAAGGCAAAAUGUAUCUAUAGCCUAAUAAAUGAAGUGUUGCAUGUUACCACACAUAUGUUACUUCCCACUAUAAAGGUAGUAAUACUAGUCUAUGUUACUACCCAUUGUGGCUAGUCUAAACGAAACGCAACAUGGGACGGCGAGCCGGGAGCAUUCAAAUUAAAAGAUCAUUUCAAUAUUCAAUAUGUUAGAAUAUAUCACCCGUCUUUUGAUUAGUUUAUAUUUUUAGAUGAAUUGAAUGAAGUAUGAAUUUAAUACCAUCAAUCAGUGAGUUUUGUACAUUAGCGACACAAUCAAUUGCCGGGUAGCAAUCAAUCAAUCAAAAUAGUAUCAGAAAGAAGAUUUGAUUCUAAUUUCCAAUCAAUCAGUUUGUACACUAGCGACCGCGAACAGCAAUUUCCAAUCGCGUCGACAGAAAGGGAGUAGGAAAAUGGAAACACAAAAAAGGGACGGAAUGUGCACACGGGGCAUAUGCCAUAUGGCAACGCAGAUCACGAUCGCGGAUCCGCCGGCGCGUGGGACGGCGGAGGCGGCGUGGCGGCGCCGGAGAAGGCGUCAUCGGAGGAGGCGGGGUGGAGUGCCCGGAUCUUGAUGUGGUACCGCGGCGGCCUGGUGGCGGUGGUGUUGUCGUCGUAGCCGAAGCCGAGGUGCGCGCCGCACUUGCGGCAGAGCAGGCGCGUGCGGCGCGCGAAGAGGCGGCGCGCGCGCAGGUCGAGGCAGCGGAACUCGUCGAGGUGGCCGAACCGCGCGUCGUCGAUGGCGUCGAACACCACCACCGCCGCGCCCCGCCAGCCCCGCCGCCUCGCCCCGCCGGCGCCGGCCCCCACGAUCCCCGCCGUGUCCCGCGCCGACGAGCUCAGCUUCAGGUCGUACCCGCACCGCCCGCAGCUGCACGCACGGAGAAACAAGGCCGCGUCAGCACGGUGAUCCAUGGCGCGGACGAACGCAUCGAGAAACCAAGAAAGCCGAAUGCGGCCAGGCGAGAGUGGUAGACGGACCAGUAGGUGACGGUGGAGGCGGUCCGGGGGAGAAGGGGAGAAGGCGUCCCCGUGCGCUUGUCGGACUCCAUGGAUCGAUCCGUGAGCUGCUCCGAUUGUCACUUGUUUCCUGAUUUGUCUUGCGUGGAAUGGGAGAUGGACGAAGGGUAUAUAUAGCCAUUAGGGCAAGGCCCGAGGUGGGAAGGUGGGAGAGUGUGUGGGGUCGCGCCGACCGCAUCCAGGUCAGGUGGGCGGGCGGGCGCGGGCGGGGGGAACAUGCCGGUCGAUGGUGGCCGGUGGCCGGUGGUGCUCUGCGGGCUGCGGGUCGUCUCCUCUGCCUGCCCUGCCCACGUUGCUGCGACCGACCCGGUCAUCGUCACUGUGACGAGCUCGGCCACCAGCCCACCACCAUGCAUCAUUACUCUGCAUUUUCCUAUGUCUUGGUCUAAGAUUUUCUUAGAAAUUUGUUUACCCACCCUGUCGAUGGGUCAAUGGAACAUUUACUUUAUCCUGGUUUUGUUUGAGUAAUGAAUAAUGCAAUAAUGGUCAUGAAAAAAACUAUAUACGGCUGCAAAUGCACUGUACAAGUAACACUUGGCGCCUUCGUUUAAGGGGGUGUUUGGUUCAGAAGUCUUAGGACUUUUUCUAGUCCCAGAGACUAAUCAAAAAAGACUUUCCAGUAGAGUCUUUUUCUAGUCCUUGUAGAAAAAGUCCUUCCCGUUUGGUUCCUAGGGACUUUUUCUAGUCCUGGGAUUAAAAAGUCCAUGAACCAAACACCGCCUAAGUCGAUGCUCGAGGUCUACCAUUUAUCCAAAAACGGAAAGUCGAUGCCCGGGACAAGGUACUUUCUUGCACUUCUCUUUGUUCUGGCUUCUGAUGAGACCGAAGGACAAGAUGCUUGAUACCGCCCUGCAAAUGAAAAAGCGCUCAAUCCGAGUACUAUGAUUUCAAUACUCCUCCCUCCGUCUCAUAAUAUAAGAGCGUUUCUAAGACUGCACUGUUGUAAAAAAUGCUCUUAUUAUGAGGCAGAGAGAGUGCGCGUUAUACUCUCGUACAACUUAUCUAUGAUUUCGGGACCCUUUUUUUUUCUUUGUUUUUUUUCUUGUUUUCUAGUUUUCGCGAUGUAUUUUUAUUUUUAGCACGUGAGCAAUUUUCAAUUUUCCUAAUUUCUUUAAAAGGUCUUGAAAUUUAAAACUCAUGCACGCUGUAUAGAAAUUCAUGAUUUCUCUUCUUUAACAGCCAUUGUUUUUUUGAAAUUCAAACGUUUACAAAAAUAAUGAGCAAUUUUAUUCAUCCUUUUUUAAAAUUCGAAAAAUAGAGAAAAAUACGUAAAUUCACAAUUCCCUUUAAAAAUCGUGGAAAAUUUUAAAGAGAAUUAUUACUAUUUUAAAUUGAAAAAAUUUCAUGAACAUACUUUUAAAUCCUUGUUUUAAAUUACUAUUUAAAUUGUAAAAACAAAUUGUGAACAUUAUUUCAAUUUCUGAUUAAAAAGUGUGAACCUUUUCAAAUUUUAUAAUAUUUUAAUAAAUUCAUGAACAUUCUAAAAUCUAGUGAGUAGGAUUUAAUUCUGCAAGGAUUUUUUUUUGUGAAUGUGGUCAAUUUUUUAAAAUCAUGUAUAACUUUUUUUCAGGUGCAUUUUCAAUUUUUUGUAAACUUUUUAUAGUGAAUAGUUGUCGAUAUUUUAAGUCAUUUUUUUCAGCAAAGUAGUACUUGUAAGAACGGAGCUUCCAAACCGUGUAACAAAAGCACAAAUGACUGUUUCCCGAGAACGAACACAUGACUAACUGGGCUGGCUUCGAGAAAGCCCAAGAGGAUAAAAGGUACUACGUUAGUGAUCUAAACACUCUUACAUUUCUUUACAGAGGGAGUACUAUCUUCGUCCCAAAGUAUACUUUAAACUGCAAAAAUGUCUUCUAUUUUGGGAUGGAGGUAGUAUGCUUUUAGUGACAACUUCAUGCUUAGAGCAUGUGAACGGCGCAGCCAAUCUCCUUUGGAAACUCCUAUAUGACGCAUACUGCGUUAGUUUAACGAGCAAUCGAGUAGAUGUGUGCUCGGGCGUCCGGCCCAUGUAACACAACGAGCCAUUGUGUGCUUGGCAUAUGUUUUCUGUUUUUUCUUCUUCCUUGUUUCUUGUGCUUUUUAGGUUUUUAAGAAAAAAAUCAAACAUUAUUUAUUUAUUGAAAUUGAACAGUUUUGAAAACUAUCAACAUUACUUUAGAAAGUUUCCCAAUAUUUUUUAGAUUAUCUACUUUUAAAAAGUCUUUUUUCCCAAAAGUUGUGAACACUUUUCAAUUCUUGAGAAUAUUUUGUAGAAAACGCAAACAUUUUUAAUUUGGGAAUAUUAAAAAAAUUCUGAAAACUUUUAUUAUAGAAAACAAAAUAGCUAACGAAAUAUAAGUAGAAAAAUAACAGGAAAAAAAACUUCUUGAAGGUUCCAAAAAUGCAAAACAAAUACCAGUGCUGGUUCCCAAAACAGAAAUCCUAGCUAGCUAGCAAAACUAGCCGCCUUGGCACCCCUAAAAAAAGCAAAACUAGCCGGCUUGGCACUUUUCCCCAAUGAGAGGCAAAUAGGAAGGUCAACUUCUUCUGCCCGUUGGGUAUGAUGGCAAUUAAAAAAAUUUGCACCAAUAAACUAUAUUUGUCACGUUUGAAAAAUGUUCACAUGCUGUAAAUGUAACUGAUGUUAACUAAAUUAUAAAUUCGGUGGAAGAGCUUCCACUGUCCCAAGUUCCUCAAAAAAAUGUUCACUUGUUUAAAAAAUAUGUUCACUUGUUUAAAAAAUAUGUUCGUUAAUUUCUUCAAAAUGUUUAUACAAUGUAAAAAAUGUUGCAUAAUUUAGAAAUUAUUUUUUUAAUUCAAAAAGAAAUUUCGUGUUUUUUCAAAAAAAAUCAGGAGUUCCAAGAAUAUGCUAGUGUCAUUUAAAACAUUGUUUAUGCAAUGUUAAGAAAAAUGUUCGCUUGAUUUUUCUAAAUAUUUCUUACCAUUCAGAAAAAUGUUCAAGGUGCUUUAAAAGAAUGUUCAAACACUUGGCAAAUGUUUUUGACAAUUUUUUAAAAUGUCCGUGCCAUUUAUGGGAAAUGUUCAAUAGGUGUUAAAAAAGAUGUUCAACCACGACACCACCUCAUUUACGAAAUACCCGUUAUUGUCCCAAUAUAGUUAUCACGAGCCACUUCAUCGUUCCCCUCUCAUGAUUCAUGAAAUUGUGUUCUCAACCACGACAAAUUCAAUGUUUCAUGGAAUUAUUUUCUGUAAUGUGUUCAAGAAAAGCAAAAAACAUGUAUAGGUUGUUUGCCCGUCUAACUCUCCAAGAACCAUUGACAUCCGCCACACAAGUAUGCCAACUACUAUGACAAUACAUGUUCUUUGCUUUUUUUCUAUAGACGUAAAUGUUCAUACAUAGGCACAUACACUUGCUAACGCACACAUGUACAUCUUACCCCUAUGAGCAUCUCCGAGAGAUUGAGCUGACACAUUAUUUUGUGAUUGACGAAGUUGUCAGAGACACCUUCAUAGUCGAUGAGAACGUUACAUGUUCUUUGCUUUAUGAAGUUUGUCAUUGUACUUGACCACAUAUACUUAUUUUCCUAACCAUUAGUAUGUUAUGUAAUAAAGAAUAUAUAUUUUUCAAUUUCCUCUUGUGUCACAUAAUUCCGCGGCAUUUAAUAGCUUCAAUCGUAAAUUAGGAAUGCAAUAAAUUACUACCAUAUAUAGAGGGUCUGGGUAAAGUAAUUUAUAUAGCACUUACUCACUCUGUUUUUAUUUACUCUGUAUGUUAGAGUUGACUGAAGUCAAAUCUUUCUAAAGUUUAACCAAGUUUAUAGAAAAGAAUAUAAACAUCUACUGUAAGAAAUCUAUAUGAUGUGAAAGUACAUUCAACAAUGAAUCUAAUAAUAUUAAUUUGUUAUUGUAUAUGCCAAUAUGUUUGUCUAUAAAUUUGGUCAAAGUUUAUAAAAGUUUGACUUUGGCCAAAACUAAUAUGGGAAGUAAAUAAAAACGAAGGGAGUACCAAAUAUAAGUGCUGCAAUAUUCCCACAUAAUAAGCGGCGGUAAUUAAUGGCUUCAAUGGCAAAAAUUAAGAAUACAAUACUUUCCUUUUACUCAUAUACCCUGUACAUAUGGUCCUUGGUUCAAAAAUAAUGAACGGUUUAGUUGGGGCCAUACUAAAAUUUCUCACCGCCGCCGUCCAGCUCGACCUCGCCUCCCUGCGCUCGCCACCGUGGAAGCGACGGUGGACUUCCAGCCCAAGCCGCGGCAAGGGAAGGGCCUGUGCCUCCACGCGCUCGCUCGUCGGCGUCUACGUGUGGUUGGGACAUCGAGGGCCGCCGCUGUCGAGGUGUUCUCGGCGCUGAUGGGAGCUCCUGCUUCCUGUCUUCCCCAAGAUCUCCGAUGACCAUGCCGGCCGCCCUGCCCUAGGUACGAACUCCUCUUCUUCCAAGAGACCACGCCGGCCGCCCUGCCCUAGGUACGAACUCCUUUGCUGUUUUUUUUUUUUUUGAGCAUUACUCCUUUGCUGUUGAGUAUGAGUACUCUAUUGAAAUUGAUGCAGAGACUGAGAGACCCACGAUACGUCAGGCAGAGCCGGCUUUUGCUGGCCCAUUUUGAAAACAGCACCAACCCACGUGACCCAUGAGAGUAUUUUCGGCUUCGGCUUCUCGACCCGGAGGCCUGGCACGGCCCAUUUACAUGCCAUCGUGAGGUUUCUUCGUCUCACCGGGCGGGAUCCGGGUUGCUGUAAGAGCGUCUCCAACAGGCGUGCUAAACAGACGCCGUGCCGCAAAAUCUUUCAUUUUAGCGCGCGCGCAAUUCGGGGAUGGCUUUAGUGGGCGUGCAAUAACUGCACGCGCGAUAUAAGCAGUUGGGCGCGCGCUAGGAAGCGGUACGUCGCGCGGUGUAUUUGCGGCGUCAGCUUCCGCGCGCGGCACACAUGAUGCUCGCGUUGCGCUCUUCUUCUCCCCCUCCAAAGCCCCGCGCGCCGGCGUCGGCGACCCGCACCCAUGGACGCACGCGCCNNNNNNNNNNNNNNNNNNNNNNNNNNNNNNNNNNNNNNNNNNNNNNNNNNNNNNNNNNNNNNNNNNNNNNNNNNNNNNNNNNNNNNNNNNNNNNNNNNNNNNNNNNNNNNNNNNNNNNNNNNNNNNNNNNNNNNNNNNNNNNNNNNNNNNNNNNNNNNNNNNNNNNNNNNNNNNNNNNNNNNNNNNNNNNNNNNNNNNNNNNNNNNNNNNNNNNNNNNNNNNNNNNNNNNNNNNNNNNNNNNNNNNNNNNNNNNNNNNNNNNNNNNNNNNNNNNNNNNNNNNNNNNNNNCGCCACAAUCCCUAGCCCGGGUGGAGUUGGCCUCGCCUCCGCCGGAGCUCCUCCGACGAGCGGCCUCACGCGCGGCCUCUUCAUGCCGCCGCGGAUGACCUCGACGGCGGGUGGCGUCGCGCCGGCGCUGGCCCGAAAUUUUUAUUGUGUUGAAAAUGUGCAUCAUUUUGUGUUGAAAUAUGCCAUAUGCAAUGCACCGGCGAGUCGCGCGCGCUGCAUUUUGGCGCGCUGCUGAAGCGAUGCGCGCGCGCUGCAUUUUAGCGCGGCCGCUGGAGCCAGCGCUGCGCGCCGCGUCAAACCAGCCGAUGCGCGUGCGGCAUAUGUGUUUUUUGCGCGCGGCGCGACCGGCGCCUGUUGGAGAUGCUCUAACAGCUUUUAAAUCAUCCAUAAGCAUGCCACGCUAAUUUGAGAAUGGAAUUUUCGACCAGUGAAAUGCUGAACUUGUCCUAACAAAUCUUUGUUCUCUUCUAGAGAAUUUCCCAUUUCGAUGUCGUAAAUGUGUGGUUCCCUGAUUUGAAAUGGCGACGAGGCUGUUCAUUGCACAAAGUAGCACUGCUACCUUUUACCGUCUAUAUUUUGCGCAUUGUUUGAACUGAACCCUUUUCCUUUUAAGAACUGCUGCUCGUAUUAAUUGGAGCAGAUAAGUGGGAGCAUGGCCAUGGGCGCCGGGAGCAAGCAGCCAAGAUCAUUAGCCAUCCGCUGGUAUCCGGCGAGGCACGGUUCCUUCACUCUGAUAGUGUGGUGUCUAGCGGCAUUGGUCAUGCUUCUUAUUCUCCACCUCUUCAUCAGCCGUAAGGUGGAACAGAUUGUGAGAGGGAUAGAUGAGGUGGAGGAGGAAGCUUUCCCGGUGAAGCUGGCCCGGAGCUGGAGGAAUCCACGGGUUGCGCGGCGCAAGGGGGAGCACAGAACACUGCCCGUGGUGGACGAGUUCUUGGUCGAGUCUUCUGCGGUGCAUCAUGCCUUCUUCCCGGAAGGGGAGGUGACCAUGGAUCCAGUGAAUGGUGGGAAUGACAGGAGGUACUUAUACUACCCAGGGAGGGUUUGGCUUGACACUGAUGGAAAGCCGAUCCAAGCUCAUGGUGGAGGUGUGCUGUAUGAUGAGAAGUCUGAGACUUAUUUCUGGUAUGGAGAGAAUAAGGAUGGCAAGACCUACAAAGCUCAUGACAAGGGACCUGAUCGGGUAAGUCAAAUCGUCCUCAUGCUUUCAAUUUUGGCAUCAUUCAUGUGUUGGAGAAUUUCAAUAUUUGGCACUGUAAUUACACACAGAGCAUUAUCCCUUUUCAGAAUGAAAUAGCUAAAUUUAGAAUUAAGUAGAACAUAAAAAUUUAUUAGCCACACCCUUCAUUUUUAGCCAUAUAAUUAUAUACCAACAGAAUUGAUCGAGCUGCUUGAACAAGCCUUGCACACGAGCCUAACAAGUGAAAUUGUAAACAAAUAAUAACUAACAACCAAUCAAAGGUCGUUUCAGUCACUGUAGUUAUCCACGCCUUGCUGCAAGAUUAAAGAAUCAUGUUGCCAGGCUCGACAGAGAGCAUUACACAACUGUAACCUAUAUACUCCCUCCGUCUCAAAAUAAGUGUCUUACAAAAUUAGUACAAAGUUGAGACACUUAUUUUGGGACGCGGGAAGUAUUAAAUAACAAUAGGCUCUAUUUUAUCUAAAUAUCCUUGUAAGGGAUUUCAUUACCUGUGGACUGGGCAGUGUGGAGUAGUGUGGAAUGCAUGCGUUUAACUUUCCUGGCCUUUUAGAUAUUGUCAAUGAGGACCUGCCAGUUGCUAGGGGGCAUGUUGGAAAUAAUGUUCAGUUGGGAAGGUAAGGAAGCUAGCUGUGUGAAGGCAGGUCAAUAAAAAUAUAUAGUAAUUGGAGUUUAAUAUAUAAAAUGUGCAGAUGAAAAUAGCUAAUACUAAUACCUUCGACAUAUUUAUCAUGUGAUUAUUGUUUUCUUUAACCCAAAACAGUCGAGCUUGGCUCCACUGCAUUUUUAUGAAAUUAGGACAAUAUGAUUACUGUUUGAACACUUUUAGUCUGAUGUCAUUCUUUUCUGUAGAAGAGUGAUCUUUUUUGUUUACUAUUUACUUUGUCUGAAUUUAGUAUCUACUCUGUCCAGCUAUAUCAGUUCAAUGUCAUCAGAUUUAGGUUCUCAUGGUAGCUAAAGAAAAUGAAAAGUCAGCCAUAUGCCAAUGCCACUCCUAUUCCCAGUGAUACAACAUCUAAUAUUAUCAGCUAGUCAAUUUCAUGAGUGAUAUGGUACUAUAUUUCUAAAACAGAGAGGCCUGAUUCUGAUGUGGUGUGAGGCAAAUUUCAGUUUAGUAGAAUUCUGAAAGAGUUCUACUCCCUCUGUAAACUAAUAUAAGAGCGUUUAGAUUACUAAAGUAGUGUAAACGCUCUUAUAUUAGUUUACGGAGGGAGUACUUGACUGUCUUGAGUCCUGAAGUACAGAGCACUGACACUUAAUAGAUCAUGGGAACCAACAAAGUUUUUUUUUGUUUCCCAGUUGAAAAAAUGCACUACUAUGUACAUGUCUAGCUUGCUACUCACAUACUGAAAUUAUUGAUAUUCAAUAGUUGAACCUACCAAGUAAUUUGCAAUUUUCUUCUUAUAUAUAUACAACACGAAGGAACCUCACAAGUCAUGGGUGGGUUUUGGCAACCCUUGCACCGACGACGACCGCGAGUUCUUCUAUGCCUCUACUACUAUCAUCAUUGGGGAUGGUGCCAAAACGCCUUUUUGGGAUUCCCCUUGGCUCCUAGGACGCAAGCCAAAGGAUAUUGCACCGCUUAUCUUUGACGCUUCGAGGAGAAAAAAAUGAAAGGUGCGGGAGGCCCUUAAUGGGAAUGCAUGGAUCCUCAAGAUCAAGCCUGACACCAUAAUCUCCAUCGACCACAUCCGGGAAUUUUUCACCUUAUGGAUGCUUGUGCAUGAUUUCCACCUUAACGAGCAGAUCGAAGAUGAUAUUGUUUGGAAGCACUCCAAUGAUGGGAUCUACACAGCGUCAACAGCGUACAAAGCUCAAUUUCUUGGCUUGGUUCUAUCCCCCAUGGAUCUCAUGGUUUGGAAAGUAUGGGCACCUCCAAAAGUGAAGUUUUUUUUGCUUGGUUGGCAUUACAAAAUAGGAUUUGGACCGCCGACCGGUUGGAAAAGCGUGGUUGGGCAAACUGUGGCCUUUGCCAGCUAUGUAAAAGAGAACAAGAAACAGGUGCACAUCUCUUCUUCAAGUGUCGGUACACGCUUAGGCUCUGGAGAUAAAUCAUUCAGAAGCUUGGUCUUGCUCACAUGGACACCUCCAAUUGGCACCUUGCGGACUCCGUCAAUGAAUGGUGGGAUAAGAGAAUUGACAAUCAAAACCCCAAUAGACAAGCCAUGGCCUCCCUCACUAUGCUUGUGUCUUGGACUAUUUGGAACGAACGAAAUGCUCGGGUGUUCCGACACAAGUGUGCGCCGCCGCCCAUUCUCCUUAACAUCAUCCUAGAGGAGGCCAAGCUUUGGGUUACCACGGGUGCUAAAAAGUUAGGGCUAAUUAUUUCGUGUGAGUAAUUGUCAUGCCGUGUAUGUGGGUCACCUGUAACACUCUAAACUCUCUUCUUAUUUAAUGGAUGAGGCAAAUCUUAUGCCUCUGUUUCGAAGAAAAAAAACCACUUAUGUUCUGUAGAAUUUCCCAGUUUGUCAUUCUAACCAAGACAUGCUACUUUUCAGGUUGACAUUGUUGGAGUAAGUUGCUAUUCUUCAAAGGACCUGUGGUCUUGGACAAAUCAAGGAGUUGUGCUCCAAGGAGAGGAAAAGAAUUUGUUUCAUGACCUCCACAAAUCCAAUGUCCUUGAGAGGCCUAAGGUGAUCUAUAACAACCGGACCGGCAAAUACGUGAUGUGGAUGCACACAGACGAUGCUAACUAUACCAAAUCCUCAAUCGGCGUGGCGAGCAGCGAUUCUCCCACAGGACCAUUCACUUACCUCUACAGCAAGCGCCCGCACAACUGUGAAAGCAGAGACAUGACCAUUUUCAAGGAUGAUGACGGGAAGGCCUACCUGAUAUAUUCAUCCAAGGGCAACAGCGAGCUCCACAUUGCGCGGUUAACCGAUGAGUACCUCGACGUGACCGACGACAUGCGGAGAAUCCUCGUCGCACGGUAUCGGGAAGCUCCGGCGCUCUUCAAGUCCGGCGGCACCUACUACAUGAUAACCUCGGGUUGCACGGGCUGGGCACCGAACACUGCAAAGGCUCACGCGGCGACAUCGAUCAUGGGGCCUUGGGAGACGCUGGGGAAUCCAUUCGUGGGAGGGAACGAGAUAUACAGAUCGACAACGUUCUUCUCCCAGGGUACGUUCGUGUUGCCGGUUGCGGGGUUGCCGGGGCUGUUCAUCUUCAUGGCCGACCGGUGGAAGCCGUCCGAUCUGAGGGAUUCGAGGUACGUGUGGCUGCCUUUGACAGUAGGUGGACUGCCUGAUGAGGCUGCGGAUUACAGCUUCAUGUUCCCGCUCUGGUCCAGGGUGUCGAUUUACUGGCACAAAGUGUGGCGCCUUCCUGAGAAAAGUUACCGAGUGACUUAGCCAUGCAUUCAUGUCUGCUCUCUAUUGCAGAUCAAAUGUGUAAGAUGAAAUAAAGGCAAAGAAACGAGGUUGCAUGUUUUCAGCUAUCCAGCGACAGGAACUGAACUUUGCUGUUUCAACUAUGAGAGCGGUCACUUAACAGACAAAUACUAAAGCGAUUAUACACAAGGAAAAUUUUAAAACAGACUAUGAAAGACAAAAACUGACACAGAUUUUUCAAUAUUACUCAGAUGUUGCAAUGGUACUUGAGUGCAAACAUUUAGGGCUGGACUUUUGGAGUGUCUCAUACACACAGUGUCGCCGUGAAGCAAAUGAAGUGGCUCACAGCCUAAUAAAGAACUCACUUAGUGAAAAGUCUUCUAUGUUUUGGGUUUCUAUGAUCCUUGAUUUUAUUUCUCACUCUAUUGUAACAUGUCUAUUAUCCGAGGAAUAAAAUUUGUUGCUUUAAAAAAAAUCUGUUUCUAUUCGUUGGAUCUCUCAGGAUUACCCAAAUAAUGUGGUCUGCCUUGAUUAUCAAUCUUUUGCCUGUGGUGUUGUAUGGAUAUAAUUGGGUAUUGCGUUGAACGUAAUACAUGUUCAUAUAGCUAAUGUGUGUAUACUCGAUCUGUAAUACCAAGAUGCUAUCCAACAUGUAGUGUCCAUUAUAUGCUUCUGAAUUUCAUACUACAUCUGAUCUGCAGUAAUAAUUUGGGUAAUUCUGCAAGUUGCAAUAUCAAGAAUAACAGCUUUUUUCGUUCAGCUGCAUGCUACUGUGAUUAUGGCUUGAAAUUAGGCCAAAUUCAGACGUUUCUUUUAUGGCUUAGAAACCAAAAUCUGAACCAAAUAGCAGUUUCGUUCACGCUUCUUAAACUCCAAAAGCAUCUUGGCUUCGGUAGUGCAAUUGGAAAACUACAUCAGAGGUAGGUGCUUCAGUAGCUUUCUACCAUCCUCCUCCUGACUUUUGUCCUGUCAUACUCCUUCCAGUUUUCAAAUUUAUAUUUUACAAAGUGUAUCUUGUUAUGCUAUACCCACUUCUUCCCCGGAGCAUGAUGACUGGACACAAUCAUGCAGGAAAAAGGCGAUAGGGAUAGGGAAAAUUUUGUUUUUGCCAUUCUAGAUUUUGUCAAUUUUCCUUAUGCCAUUCUAGAUUUUGACAUUUCACUUUUGCCACACAUAGCUUUUGACAAUUAUCACAAUUACCAUUCUGUGGCAAAAGCUAAAUAAUUUUAUUUCAUUUUUGCCACUCUUAGUUUUUGAAAUGUAUCACAAUUGCCACUCUGAAAAUUUUGCUUUUUCCACCAGAAUGGCAAUUGUGAUAAUAAUCAAAAACUAAGAGUGGCAAAAGUGAAAUGUCAAAAUCUAGAGUAGCCAGUGGCAGAAGGAAAAUUGGCAAAAUCUAGAGUGGCAAAAACAAAAUUUCCCCAUAGGGAUAUAUGUAUGCCAAGUAUUGAUCCCCCAAAGUCAAAACAGCAAGUACUUCAAUAAAAUCUGUAUAUCGAAAAAUAACAUACUUCCUCCGUCCCAUAAUAUAAAAUCAUUUUUGACACUAUUGUAAAAACGUUCUUAUAUUAUGGGACAGAGCGAGUAGAAUUAAACCACAGAAAUGAAAAUUAAAGGCCCAGCACAAACACCACAAUACAUAUGUACCACUCAAACUAUACUAAAACAAAACCCUGAAAAAAACUAUACUCAAACAACACCGGAAAGGGGCCGGUGCAGCAGCCAGUCAAUCGACCUUUUAACUAGGCGUACGUACAUCUAAUUGUCCAUGCCGGGCUCAGAAGCACCCAAGGAUGGCACGCCGCUACCGUAGCCGUUGAUCAUCGACGCCGCGGUCUGGUGGAAGCCGGGUGUCGCGAUUGGACGACGACGUCGGGUCCUGAUGUUUAGCCAGCUCGUCAUCCGGGGAGGCCAGCAAGAAGAUGACUUCGUUGUGCUCGGGCACCUCCUCAUGGUCUUGGACUGGUACAACGGCGGUGGUGUGAUCGGCGGUAGCGCGUCGUCGGUGCCAGCGACAUGGUCGAUGGGGCGCUUGGGCGUGCCGGGCUUGGUCUCCCAGACGAACGGCACGGUGCCGGCGCCGAGGCUGUAGUACACCCUGAAGGACGCCCCGGCGGCCACGACGCUCCCUCGAGAGGAUCCUUGAGCUAAACUGCUUGUCAUCCCUUCCUGCAUACUCGAGCUCAUGAAAGGAGGGCGAAGAUCUGCCAAGUAGACGGCAAAAGUGUACGUACUGCGUUUGCGUGGCAAAACACGCACGUACUACACAAUUGGUGGUGUUUGUGAGUGAGCAGUAGCGCUAGCGCAUGAAUAUAUAGUCCGUUUCUUGUCUCGGCCGGGUCGGCUUGAGGUUGAAGAAUACUGGUAGUACGUGUGUUCUGGUGAGGGAGGACAAUCAACUGUAGUUAUGUAGUGUCAUCUCAACAGUGCGUUGCGAUAGAAAUAUUCUUUUCUCGAGGGCAUGGAUUGGCUAUCCUAGCAUGGAGUUGUCUCUGUAAUACUAAAUGAAAUGGAAGGCUAAAGUUGAAGAUGCGUUGGCGUCCUCGCGGCGGAAUAGCUUGCAAUCUGCAUGGUGUCUGUCUCUACUCUUUAACCAUUUUGUACGCUAUGAUCUGCCUUGAGUAGGGAAGCCGUCGGUACAUCGACACGUAUGCGUGUGAAAACUGUAGGGUCGGUAGGUGGGUCUGUUUGUGCGAAAACUUAGAGAAGGUGCAAACACACGAGUUGAACUUGUAAAACAGUGUUGGAUUUGGAUAGCCAUCAACAUUGGCUAGUUUGCUUUAUGUGCAGGAGAUGGCACGCUCUUACCAAACCCGUUGAAAGAGUAGUUUGUUCCAAGUCUGCAUGGCCGGAUUUCUCGAGUGCGCAAAUCGGGUUCUCCACUUGAUGCUCUACCUUUUGCCCCUAAUGUCAGGCCUAGUACCCUCUGAAGAUAACUGAAGAAGAGACAGAACAACAGCGACACCUCAAGGUUCAGUAAUCGGACAGUCCAGAAUGCAUCUAUCUAAAGCAACGAACGGUUGAUUGGAUAGAAAUAGAAUUACGUAAGGCUGUGUUCUAAAUCAGUUCAUUUACUUUUUUAAAAUAGUUUGGAUUGCUUACCACAUUUGUCAUGUGGUUUUUUCGUUUACUUUUAGCACACUGAUUUAGUUCACUUAUAACAGACUAUAUAGAUGUGUUGGUGAUACAUGGGAUAACUGAUGCUGCAACACUAGAAGCUAUUGCAUGCAGAGAAGGUCUAGCACUUGCGCAAGAUUUACUACUGAAUGAUUUUGUCAUAGCAUCGGACUUCAAGCAAGUAGUUAAUGAUAUCAAGACAGCAAGCAAUGGAAGAUAUCCCCCGCAAAAAAAAGCAAUGGAAGAUACGGAGCAAUCAUAUCGAAGAUCAGGAAUCUUUUAUUAGUCUUCAAUUGUAAUAUUGCUUUCGAAGGCAGAGCCUCUAAUAGCGAUGUUGAUAGGUUAGCCAAGUUUGCACAUUCUUUGGAUCAGGGUAGGCACUUGUGGCUUUUGGAACCCCAUGAUCUUUUUUGUAUCCCACUUAAUGUGGUCUAUGAGCAAUAAAAACUUGGUUAACCCCUCAAAAAAAAGUUGGGAAUGAAAAAUAAACAAAUCAGAUGCCAAAUUAGAAUAACUAGUACAAAUGCCCGUGCGUUGCACCGGGCGAUAAAAAAGGGCCACAACCUGCUUCAUAUGUCAUUUUGCACCAUUUUUUAUAUCCAAAUUUAAUAAAGGUUGAUAAUAAUGUUGAACAUGGAAAUUUCCUUAUUUUUAAUAAAAGUUAAUGUUUUCAUUGAAAAUGUAACACCUUUUGAAGAAUAGUUCCAAUUUUUAUGAAAAUUGGAACAUUUCUCUAUAAAUUAACUUUUUAACAGAUGUUUUUUUUAAAAGAAUGUUUUUCUAUUGUACAUUUUGAAAUGAUUUUUUUGGUAAAAAGUGAUUUUGGGGGAAAUAUUUAUAGAUAGUUGGUUGUUUGGUUGGGAAGAAUUUUCUUUUAACUAUUUGGGCUUUGCACCAUGGAGAAGGACCCAUGAACUCAUCUUCCUACCCCCAGGAAGGGCACUUCCUUAUCUUUUCCUAUUCUCUAGUACUUCCUUGUGCGCCGCUGCCGCCGCGUAGAUGAGUCACAUAGGGUGAGACGUGGUUUGCCGUCCGAGGCCGUCGCUGCCACCGGCGGUGAGGCAAGAGCUAUUACGGGUAGCACCACUUGCGUCCGAGGCACCUAAGCCUGAGCCUAUGAGUGAGAGCUUCUCCAUGUCGUUGUUCCCCGCGGGACAACAUCGCGUGCGGGUGCGGUCAGCUGUUACCCCGAGAUACAGUAGGAGCUCACGCAGACUCACUUGAAGUUUGGAGCUCGAUGCAAGCUCUUUUCGGAAGUUCAUUACAGUAUGUUCAGUUAUAUAAUUUAUAUUUCCAGUUAUUGAUAUAGUAAACAUGUCCGCACGUUACAACAGGAGGAAAAAAACUUGUUUGAAUUUGAUUCAAACUUGUCCAAACUUUCAUCUUCCAAAAACUCCUCAAGCCAAUUCCAUCAAAACCUACAUAUUUUUCUCAAAACCUUGCCAAUAAUUUUUUCUGCAUGUAUCGAAGCCUCACCAAAUCUUAACAUUUUCUGGACCUUCCAAAUACCACUCCUAUUUAAAACCCAUUUGAAUUAAAUACAAAUGAGUUGGAUCAAAACUUUCACACAUUACUAUUUCUAUUUUCGUGGAUCAAUCUCAUUUUUUGUGAGACCAGGGAAAAUAACACCAUGUCCAAACUCUCCUCAUAGCCCUCACUUUUUCUUUCUCUAAAUCUCUGGGUUUCUUUUCAGUUUAUAUAGAAAGAGAGAGAAUCUUCCAGUCGAGCAGGCCUUCUUGCCAUUAGUACCUAGUUAUAGCACAUAUGGCUCGUAUGCAUAAUAUGUCAGUGAUCUAGGAAACUCACAGUACUCUUCUGUUUCACCUGAUUUCUUCUUGCAAUGAGUCCUUGAUCUUGAUAGGCAUGAUCAGUUGUCCACUCAAAAGCAGGACCAUGUACUAUGCUGCAAGGCAUACUAUUAUUAGUCAGCAAUAUGCAUGUGUUAUUAUUUUUCAAACAUAAUAUUCUACAUAUUUAGCCCCAAACACACAGUAAGAUUACAAUAUUAAAAUCAUGAAAUAGGUCUAUGUGUCAUAAAACCACAUACAUCCAAGUUGGUAUGAAGAUCCUCUGCUCGACUGCUCCUAAAAGGAUGUCCAACCUGCUGCACCUCUGAUUCCAAGCAUAUGGACUGAUCUACAUGUGUGCAUUGAGUAAAAACAUACAUGUGGAACAGAUCAAAUGUAGAUCUAUAUCUCAAUAACAUAAACCUAAAAAAGAGAGUACAAUCAUAUAUGCAUACUUGCAACCUAUAUUAAUUCACAAACAAAAAAUCAUAAGGAAACUUAUCUAGAAAGCUAAACCAAAAUGUGUGUUUGGAAUAAAUUUCCUGAUAACUAGACCAUGCGAGAUAGGAUUUGAAAUAUACCUAGCUUUAACUGCAGUUUUAUCUCCCCUGCAUGGGUAUCUAGGAACACCCAAAAUUGUAUAACUUACUCCCUCCGUUCCUAAAUAUUUAUUUUUCUAAAUAUUUCAACAAGUGACUACAUACGGAGCAAAAUGAGUGAAUCUACACUCUAAAAUAUGUCUACAUACAUCCGUAUGUGGUAGCCAUUUGAAAUGUCUAGAAAGACAAUUAUUUAGGAACGGAGGGAGUAGAAUUUAUCGAGAUGGAUCCUUCAACAAAGGACCGCUGCACUGUAAUGAGAAAAAUUCAUGCAGUCAACCUUGUCAUCCCAUCUGCAUUAACUGAAGUGCAAAUCAAGUCCUCUAGUUUAGUUAUAACCAUAAAAGUAAAACAGAAUUGUAACAGAGCAAAACUAAGACCCAUUAACUAAUGAAAGUUUACUCGGUUUUCCUUUUCUGCGGAAUAGCCGUUGGCCUAACAAAAUAGCAAACAAAGUGAGGAAAUUAAAAUUGAAAUUAAAAAGGUUACUCGUUGCUAAUCUGAGAAGGAAUAAAAUAGAUUGAGAAAACUUACAAAGUUCAAUUUCGGAUUCAGAUGGAAUCAUUCUUGCCCUGAAUAAAAAACAAAUUAAUCUAUGGAAAAACAAAAUUAAAGGGGUGAUGCAAGGGAACGUUCUUGUUCAGGAAGCUGGGUGUGUAGAAUAGGUCACUUGCUCUUACAGAUGAGGCAGUACACGCGCGCCAAGAGCAUGUACUAAUGGCGAUCAAUGGCUUGUAGGGUGUUGCUAAACACCAGCAGCAAGCGGGAGCUCGUCGCGUGGUGUACGCCACCAAAUUUGGUCCAAAUAUAGUGGGCCGGAGCACAUCUCAGUAUUAGUCAUCAACACAUUGAGCUCCCGGGCACAAAUCACAAAAGUGGUGCCCAAUGCUCCUCCAUUGCUUCUUGACCAUGGAUAAACACAUUGAGCCGGCCUCUGCAUGCAAGCCAAAGAAAAGUUCUCUGUUUGUUGGGGAUGAUCGUAACCCAAAUAAGUGCAGCCGGUUCCAAACAACCCUCCGAAAGGGAGGAACCGUAGUAACUGCUGGUAGUAGCUAGCUUUCCCUAGAAAACAUCAAACCCGCAAUCUGCACCAAUCACACAGGGGGCUUCAACAUCCUCAAGUAGCCGUCUUGUAGCGACCAGACCUCAAACAGUCUGAUCUCUGUGCUCCGGUGUCAUCCCUGGAUCAGUAAUGCUGACACCACACAGUACUCGGAGGAUUUAUAGCAGAGUAGCAAUCACACAUUUAUUACAUCGAGUGUCUCAAAAGAUAACUUAUUACAAUAAAUAUGGCUUAAGGCCAUCUAAUAACGAUAACAGCGGAAGAUUUGGAAGAUAAGUGAGUCCAUCAACUCCAACAGCAUCACUGAGUAUAGAACCACGACCUAAAAACUCCUUAAUCAUCGUCCGAAAAGUCUGCAACAUUAACGUUGCAGCCCGAGAACGGGUCAGCACAUGGAAUAUGCUGGCAAGGUAACACAUAGAGAGUAAUGGAAUGAAACAGCUAUACUAUAUGCAUAUUUGGCUGGUGGAAAGCUCUAUGGUUACAGUUUUUGCGUAAAGCCAAUUUUUCCCUACUUCAAAGGAAUAAAUUUAAUUACUAUCAUGGUGGUUGUUAAACAUUGAGAAUGGUUGACAGCAUUCUCAAUCCCAAUUAAGCAUCAUCAUUUAACAAACCCAACAAAAUUAACUUUAGAGUAACAUGUUGAGAUUCACAUGAUAAUCCAGGUACUAGAUACUCAAGAUGUCCAUAACCGGGGACACGGCUAACCAUGAUUAGUUUAUUAUACUCUGCAGAGGUUUGCGCACUUUUCCCCACAAGACUCGAUCGUCUCCGUUGGAUUUCUCGCACUACAUGGUGUUUGAGAAACGGAUGACCGAGACACAGUCUUUCAGAAGCGCUAGCACCUUACGAUGGAUAGACCGGUACACCUACUUUCCCCUACAUCUGCUAGUCUACCCUGUAAGAGUUCGCACGACUUAAUCAACUAUGUCAGAGUCAAUAAUGGCUUGUGGCUGCACACGGAAGUUUCUAGUAUGAAUAAUCUCAUGAUCCCUUUGAGCCUGGGUGGCGGUCCAAAAGAAAAACAGGCAAGUCCUGAAAUACCCAGGUGCCUCAAUCCAUCCAGAUGUGUGUUUAGGUUGCCACCUUAGAUAAACCAUUAAUUAAUAAUCUCACAUCUGUCAUGGAUAUCACUCACCCAAUCCACGUCUACUAGCAUAGCAUGGCAUAAUAAGCAAACGUAGAAGUAACUCCCAAAGGUUCGAUAAUAAACAGGUAAUAGGUACUACCUCAUCUACUUCUCAUCCCACAAUUUAAUUAGAUCCUAAUCAUGCAAUGUGUGAGGAUUGAUCUAAUGCAAUAAAACUGGGUUGUAGAAAAGGUAUGAUCAAAGUGUUACUUGCCUUGCUGAUGAUCCGCGAAACCUAACGAUUCAAAGUAACAAGCGGCGCACUCCGGGUAUUCUAUCGCAGACAAACAAAUAAGCAUACAAUAAGUACUCAUUUAAUGCACAGGUAAAACUCAAAUAGAAGAUCUAACCAGAAAGUUUAACUUAAGAACCCUGGUUUGUAAAAAGAAUCAAAUCGAACGAAGUAAAAGAAAUCAAACGGCGAAAGAAAUCAACUUCGUUCUAGUAAUUUGGAUCUAAGUCAAAUUUUACAGUAGCAAAAACUUGUUUAAGUUGAUUAUUCGGAAAGAGGGUUUCGAGACGAAACUCCAGGCGCUUGAAUCGCCUGAUUCCGAUAAACGAGCGAAAAAUUAUACUAAAACGAAAAUCGAAUCAGAAAUCGCGAUCAGAAAAUAACCGCGGAAAAUCCGACGAAAAAGAAAAACGACGAACAGAUUAAUCGUUAAUUAACCUAAUCCGAAAAUAAUUAAAAUAAUAAAAUAAUAUUAAAAUAAUAAAAAAAUCGAAAAUAAAACCGACGAAAAAAAUCUUUUUUCAAAAAAAAUCGGCACGGAAGUCGAGGCGGCGGCGAACCUGGGGCGGCGUGCAACUCCGAUGAGUCGGCGGCGUCGACGGCGGCGGCGGGCUAGGGUUUCGGGCACGGGCGCGGUUAUGGGCUGGGGCGCCGGGUGCCUCGUUAUUUAAAGGCGCCCCCGGGCGGAGUCCCACUCGGGUACGGCCCAUAGUCGGUUUCGUUUUUUUUAAUAAUUACUCUCAGAAGAAAAAUAAAAAUAAAUACUAAACGGACUCCAAAAAUCAUGAAAUAAUUUUUUCCGGAUUUCUAAAAUCAGGCCCGAUAAAGUGGACAUUUAUUUGGGCCCAAACUACAACUUUGAAAAACGCGUAUUUUUCCUAAAUUCAAUUAAAAAUACCGAAAAACUCCGAAAUAAAACUUAUUUGAUUUUUUAUUAAAUCCUCAAUAUUUCUAUAUUUUGGAAAAGUCAUUUUAUUCCCUCUCUCAUAUCUUUGUAAUAGAAAUAAUUAACGAUAAAAUAAAUAAAAUCAAAUAAUCCUGUUUACAAAAUUUGAGAAAACUCAAAUAUGUAAAUAACGAAAUCCCAACUCUCUCUGUGGGUCCUUGAGUUGCUUAGGAUUUUCUAGGAUCAAAACCAAAAGCAAAAUAAAAUAUGAUAUGCAUGAUGAUCUAAUGUAUAACAUUCCAAAUUGAAAAUUUGGGAUGUUACAAACCUACCCCCCUUAAGAUGAAUCUCGCCCUCGAGAUUCGGGUUGGCUAGAAAAUAGGUGAGGGUGGUCCUUGAGCAAAUCUUCCCCUCGCUCCCAGGUGGCUUCAUCCUCUGUGUGGUGGCUCCACUGAACUUUGCAAAACUUGAUAACUUUGCUGCGAGUGACUCGGCUGGCAAACUCGAGAAUCUUGACUGGUUUCUCCUCAUAGGUCAAAUUGUUAUCCAACUGAAUUGCUUCCAAUGGCACUGUGUCUCUCAAAGGUAUGUCAGCCAUCUCCGCGUGACACUUCUUCAACUGAGAAACGUGGAACACGUCAUGAACUCUUGUCAAUCCUUCUGACAAUUUCAACUUGUAGGCCACUUCUCCCAUACGCUCCAAAACUCGAUAUGGCCCUAUAAAUCGUGGCGCUAACUUCCCCUUAACUCCAAAGCGCUUAAUCCCUCGAAGUGGGGAUACUCGAAGAUAAGCUCUGUCUCCGACUUCGUAAACUGUCUCCUUGCGUUUAGAAUCUGCGUAGCUCUUCUGCCUGGACUGGGCUACCUUGAGCCUAUAGCGAAUCAACUUCACCUUCUGUUCAGACUCUUUAAUCAGAUCUGGUCCAAACAACUGACGGUCUCCAACUUCGUCCCAUGACAACGGUGUCCUACACCUCCUUCCGUACAAAGCUUCGAAAGGGGCCAUCUUCAAACUGGUCUGAUAGCUAUUAUUGAAAGAGAACUCUGCAUAUGGCAAAUUAUCGUCCCAACUAGAUCCAUAAUCUAGCGCACAAGCUCUCAGCAUAUCCUCCAAAAUCUGAUUGACUCUCUCGGUCUGUCCAUCUGUCUGCGGAUGAAAAGUUGUACUAAAUUCUAGCCUGGUACCCAAAGUCUCAUGCAACUGCUUCCAGAACUUUGAGGUAAACUGGGUUCCUCUAUCUGAUACGAUACUCCUCGGAACUCCAUGCAGACAUACGAUUCUUGUCAUAUAUAUCUUUGCCAACUUAGCACUGGUGUAAGUGGUCUUUACUGGGAUGAAAUGAGCUACCUUCGUCAAUCGAUCAACUACAACCCAAAUCGAGUCAUAGCCUGAACGAGUCCUUGGUAAUCCCGUGAUAAAAUCCAUGCCUAACUUAUCCCACUUCCAUUCGGGUAUCGGCAAUGGUUGCAACAAUCCUGCUGGCUUCUGAUCCUUUGCCUUUACUCUCUGACAUACGUCACAAACUGCUACAUACUCUGCAAUAUCCUUCUUCAUUCCGGUCCACCAGAAAAUAUCCUUCAAAUACAAAUACAUCUUGGUAUUUCCUGGGUGAAUCGAAUACGGUGAAUCAUGAGCCUCUUGCAGAAUCAACUUUCUGAUCUCCGGGUCAUUGGGUACAUAAACACGGUCUUCAAACCAUAGGGUAUUGUGCUCAUCCUCACGAAAUCCUUUAGCUUUUCCUUCUUUCAUUUUCUCCUUUAUGGAAGCAAUCUCCUUGUCAGUCUUCUGAGCUUCCCUGAUUCUGUCCAUCAAAGUUGACUGAAUUUCCAACGCUGCUACAUAGCCUCUCAGAACUAUUUCCAAACAUAGUUCACGAAGGUUUUCUGCUAACUCCUUGGGUAUUUCUCCCGUCAUUAACGUAUUGACAUGACUCUUACGGCUCAAUGCGUCAGCUACUACAUUAGCUUUUCCGGGAUGGUAAUGCAAUCUCAUAUCAUAAUCCUUGAUGAGCUCCAACCAUCUCCUUUGUCUGAGGUUCAACUCCUUCUGCAUGAAAAUGUACUUCAAACUCUUGUGAUCCGUGUACACCUCACAAUGAUUUCUAAUGAGGAAAUGUCUCCACGUCUUCAAUGCAUGCACUACGGCUGCUAACUCCAAAUCAUGCGUGGCAUAAUUCAAUUCGUGAGGCUUCAGUUGUCGUGAAGCAUACGAAACAACUCUUCCCUCCUGCAUAAGCACUGCUCCAAGUCCUCGACGUGAAGCGUCGCAAUACACCUCAUAAUCCUUAGUUUGAUCUGGCAAAAUCAACACUGGUGAGGUAACCAAACGUUUCUUCAAUUCCUGGAAACUAGCCUCACACUCCUUAGUCCAUUUGAACUUAGUAUCCUUCUUCAGCAACUCCGUCAUAGGCUUCGCAAUCUUUGAGAAGUUCUCAAUAAAUCUCCGGUAGUAUCCUGCGAGUCCCAGAAAACUCCGGAUCUCUCCAACUGUUGUUGGUGCUUCCCAAUUGGUCACGGUUUCAACUUUAGCGGGAUCUACUGCUACACCUUCUCCGGAUAUAAUAUGUCUGAGGAAUCCAACUUCCUUCAACCAAAACUCACAUUUGCUGAACUUAGCAUAUAACUGAUGUUCUCUGAGCUUCUCAAGUACCAAUCGCAAAUGUUCUUUAUGCUCCUCUUCAUUCUUCGAAUAAACCAGGAUAUCAUCUAUGAAAACCACGACGAACUUAUCCAAAAACUCCAUAAACACUUUGUUCAUCAUGUUCAUAAAAAUAGGCAGGUGCGUUAGUCAGUUCAAAUGACAUAACGGUAUACUCAUAUAGUCCAUAUCUUGUGGUGAAUGCUGUCUUAAGUAUGUCCUGCUCUCGAAUCUUCAACUGAUGGUACCCUGAUCGCAAAUCGAUCUUGGAAAAUACUUUAGCCCCUUGCAAUCGAUCAAACAGAUCAUUGAUCAUUGGUAGCGGGUACUUGUUUUUGAUUGUUACUUCGUUCAAUCCUCGAUAAUCAACAACCAUUUUUAACGAUCCAUCCUUCUUCUCCACUAGAAGUACUGGUGCUCCCCAAGGCGAAGAACUUGGGCGAAUGUAACAUUUAUCCAGUAACUCCUUAAUCUGCUUUUUAAUUUCCACCAAAUCCUUUGCGGGCAUCCUGCAUGGUCGCUUCGAUAUUGGCCCAGUGCCUGGCAAAAGCUCAAUCAAAAACUCAAUGUCUCUAUCCGGUGGCAUGCCUGGCAACUCUUCUGGAAAUACGUUAGGAAAAUCCUUUACCACUGGUACUUCCUCUUGCACAACUCCUGAUAAGGAAUUUACUUGUGUCCUGUUUGGCGCAUGUCGGGAUACAUACUUGAUCCUUCUUCCUUCUGGCGUUGUGAGAAAAAUUGUCUUACUGGUGCAAUCGAUGUUUCCUCCAUACAUCGACAGCCAAUCCAUACCGAGAAUUACAUCCAAACCUUGGGAUUCCAGAAUAAUUAAAUCCGUUGGGAAAACAUGCCUUCCUAUACUUAAUGGCACUUGAAAACAUCCUUGUCCGACCAUGUACUCUGCUCCUGGCAAGCUUACUAGCAUAGGUGUUUUAAGAACCCUAGUGGGUAGGCUAUACUUUUCCACAAAUCCCCUUGAUAUGUAUGAAUGCGAUGCACCAGUAUCAAAAAGAACGAGUGCAGUAAAUGACUUAACCAAAAACUUAUGUAUUACUGCAUCGGGUUGAGCUUCAACCUCCUCCACAUUAACGUGGUUCACCUGUCCCCUGUUGAAAGGGUUCGGCUUCUUUCCAGAGCUUCCAUUGCCGUUUUGGCCUUCAGGACAUUCAUUGGCAUAAUGUCCGGUCUUGGAACACUUGAAACAGGUGACUUGACUCAGAUCUCUCUUGGCUGGUGUUGAUGGGGUGUUGCGGUUCUGUCCAUUGCUUCCUCCAUUCCCAUUACCAUUUUUGGUGCCAUUGUGAUUGUGCGAGCUACCUACUCCAUGGGUAUGCUGAAAAUGUCCUCCCGGUCUAGGGGUAAAACGUGGCUUCUGCUGAGCUCCUGAAUUAUACUUUCCUUGUCCAUACUUCCUCUUGCGGUUCUCAAUUUGCUGCUGCUUCCCUUCAAUCAUAAGAGCACGAUCUACCAACUCCUGGUAGUUGUUGAAUGUGGCUACCAUCAACUGCAUACUCAACUCAUCAUUCAGUCCUUCCAGGAAUUUCUCCUACUUAGCUGCAUCCGUAGCAACGUCAUCUGGGGCAUAACGUGCUAGCUUACUAAACUCCUCCACAUACUGGCCAACUGUCCGUCCUCCUUGGCGCAAGUUAUGAAACUCACGCUUCUUCAUGGCCAUUGCUCCUGCUGAAACAUGGGCAGUACGAAAAGCCUGCUGAAACUGGUCCCAUGUGACAGUGUCGACUGGGAAGGUGGCUGUGAAAUUCUCCCACCAUGAUGCUGCGGGUCCUUCUAACUGAUGUGCGGCAAACUUCACCUUCUCCGCAUCUGUGCAUCCUGAUGUGGUCAACUCCCUAGCUGUCUUGCGGAGCCAAUCAUCUGCUACUAUCGGCUCGGUGCUACUGGAAAACACCGGCGGAUUCAGCCUAAGAAAACAGGCUAAGUGGUCAACAGGUGGUGGUGGUGGUGGGCUGUUAUUGUUUCCCUGAUUCUGAUUCUGAACUAGCAACUGCAUCAAGGUGUUCUGCUGCUGGAUCAACUGGGUGAGCUCCGGCGGAAAGGCAAAUCAGGGGUCACGUCUCGGAGGCAUCUGAGGGUUUAGAAAAGAUGAGAUAUAAGAAUAGAGGGGGUCUAAAGAGAAAACACUACCCAUAUGCACAUGAGGCAAAAGCAAACAAUUCACUCCAUUCAAUCAAACAAAGGCAUACAAUCGAUCUAGCUAUCGCAAAAGUGCUCAGACUACUAAAUUUACAUGGUGUACUACUACUACUGGUGAGGUGGUCUACUAGAAAUAUUCUACGGUUGUAGACUCCAUGAUAUCGGCUCCAGCUUCAUCAACAUAGUCAUCAUCGCUACUAUCUGCUUCCGAGUCGGUGCCGUCGAUGAUGAUGUAGUCUUCCGGGCUAAUUUCCUUGGGUUCUUCGUCUUCAUCUACUGGUGUCGGGCCUCCCAUAAAUAUUCCAAUCUUCUUGAUCAGGUCGUCAUUCUUCUCCACCAAUACUUCAAUUUCUUCUUCAUAAUCUUCACGUGUAGCCUUGAGUUCUUCCUCCAGUUCCUUGAUUCUAGUCUUAGCCUUCUUCAGAUCUAUCAUGUCGGCACACCUCUGAUUCUCCUAUCAUCGAAUGUGCUGGUUUAACUCCUGGAUAAAAGCUGCAAUUGAUCUAUCUUUCCUGGUGCUGAUCAUCUCCCAGUGUUCAUCUCGGCGUCCGCAAAUAUGGUAGAUAGUAUCCUUGAGAUCCUUGCGGUAGACUUCUCCAAUGCGUCCCAUGGCGAUGUGAGCUGCCAUACUCUUUCCUAGACUCCAAGUUGGUGUAUCAAAAGAAAACUCUAUGGGCUCAGUGACUGGCAUGAACGUCCUUCCUGGAACUUGAACUUGAAUCAUCCAGCGCUCUUCUUCAGGUAAGGUGGCGUUGUAGGUUCCCGUGAAGCUUGGUACUCCUAUGUUCAGGUAUCUAGUGACUUCCUUCAAGUGGCGUCCAAAGGGUGUAUCUUCAUCUGGUUGUGUGAACUUGUUCCUUGCAUCCGCCAUCCUAAAGAGUAGAAAAGAUGAGAAGUCAGAAGAGAAGAGAGUGAGUAGUGAUCUAGGUCUUUUAGCUUAGUGGUCAUGUCCUACAGUCAGCGUGUGCUCUGAUACCAUCUCUGUAGCGACCAGACCUCAAACAGUCUGAUCUCUGUGCUCCGGUGUCAUCCCUAGAUCAGUAAUGCUGACACCACACAGUACUCGGAGGAUUUAUAGCAGAGUAGCAAUCACACACUUAUUACAUCAAGUGUCUCAAAAGAGAACUUAUUACAAUAAAUAUGGCUUAAGGCCAUCUAAUAACGAUAACAGCGGAAGACUUGGAAGAUAAGUGAGUCCAUCAACUCCAACGGCAUCACUGAGUAUAGAACCACGACCUCAAAACUCCUUAAUCGUCGUCUGAAAAGUCUGCAACAUUAACGUUGCAGCCCAAGAACAGGUCAGCACAUGGAAUAUGUUGGCAAGGUAACACAUAGAGAGUAAUGGAAUGAAACAGCUAUACUAUAUGCAUAUUUGGCUGGUGGAAAGCUCUAUGGUUACAGUUUUUGCGUAAAGCCAAUUUUUCCCUACUUCAAAGGAAUAAAUUUAAUUACUAUCAUGGUGGUUGUUAAACAUUGAGAAUGGUUGACAGCAUUCUCAAUCCCAAUUAAGCAUCAUCAUUUAACAAACCCAACAAAAUUAACUUUAGAGUAACAUGUUGAGAUUCACAUGAUAAUCCAGGUACUAGAUACUCAAGAUGUCCAUAACCGGGGACACGGCUAACCAUGAUUAGUUUAUUACACUCUGCAGAGGUUUGCGCACUUUUCCCCACAAGACUCGAUCGCCUCCGUUGGAUUUCUCGCACUACAUGGUGUUUGAGAAACGGAUGACCGAGACACAGUCUUUCAGAAGCGCUAGCACCUUACGAUGGAUAGACCGGUACACCUACUUUCCCCUACAUCUGCUAGUCUACCCUGUAAGAGUUCGCACGACUUAAUCAACUAUGUCAGAGUCAAUAAUGGCUUGUGGCUGCACACGGAAGUUUCUAGUAUGAAUAAUCUCAUGAUCCCUUUGAGCCUGGGUGGCGGUCCAAAAGAAAAACAGGCAAGUCCUGAAAUACCCAGGUGCCUCAAUCCAUCCAGAUGUGUGUUUAGGUUGCCACCUUAGAUAAACCAUUAAUUAAUAAUCUCACAUCUGUCAUGGAUAUCACUCACCCAAUCCACGUCUACUAGCAUAGCAUGGCAUAAUAAGCAAACGUAGAAGUAACUCCCAAAGGUUUGAUAAUAAACAGGUAAUAGGUACUACCUCAUCUACUUCCCAUCCCACAAUUCAAUUAGAUCCUAAUCAUGCAAUGUGUGAGGAUUGAUCUAAUGCAAUAAAAUUGGGUUGUAGAAAAAGUAUGAUCAAAGUGUUACUUGCCAUGUUGAUGAUCUGCGAAACCUAACGAUUCAAAGUAACAGGCGGCGCACUCCGGGUAUUCUAUCGCAAACAAACAAACAAGCAUACAAUAAGUACUCAUCUAAUACACAGGUAAAACUCAAAUAGAAGAUCUAGCCAGAAAAUUCAACUUAAGAACCCUGGUUUGCAAAAAGAAUCAAAUCGAACGAAGCAAAAGAAAUCAAAAUCAACUUCGUUCUAGUAAUUUGGAUCUAAGUCAAAUUUUACUGUAGCAAAAACUUGUUUAAGUUGAUUAUUCAGAAAGAGGGUUUCGAGACGAAACUCCAGACGCUUGAAUCGCCUGAUUCCGAUAAACGAGCGAAAAGUUAUACUAAAACGAAAAUCAGAUCAGAAAUCACGAUCAGAAAAUAACAACGGAAAAUCCGACGAAAAAGAAAAACGACGAACAAAUUAAUCGUUAAUUAACCUAAUCCGAAAAUAAAUAAAAUAAUAAAAUAAUAUUAAAAUAAUAAAAAACGAAAAUAAAACCGACGAAAAAAAAUAUAUUUUUCCUUUUUAAAAAAGUCAGCACGGAAGUCGAGGCAGCGGCGAACCUCGGGCGGCGUGCAACUCCGGCGAGUCGGCGGCGUCGGCCUAGGGUUUCGGGCGUGGGCGCAGUUAUGGGCUGGGGCGCCGGGUGCCUCGCUAUUUAAAGGCGCUCCUGGGCGGAGUCCCGCUCGGGUACGGCCCAUAGUCGGUUUCGUUUUUUUUAAAUAAUUACGCUCGAAAAAAAAUAAAAAUAAAUACUAAACGGACUUCAAAAAUCAUGAAGUAAAUUUUUCUGGAUUUCUAAAAUCAGGCCCGAUAAAGUGAACAUUUAUUUGGGCCCAAACUACAACUUUGAAAAAUGCGUAAUUUUCCUAAAUUCAAUUAAAAAUACCGAAAAACUCCGAAAUAAAACUUAUUUGAUUUUUUUAUUAAAUCCUAAAUAUUUCUAUAUUUUGGAAAAGUCAUUUUAUUCCCUCUCUCAUAUCUUUGUAAUAGAAAUAAUUGACCAUAAAAUAAAUAAAAUCAAAUGAUCCUGUUACAAAAUUUGAGAAAACUCAAAUAUGUAAAUAACGAAAUCCCCAACUCUCUCCGUGGGUCCUUGAGUUGCUUAGGAUUUUCUAGGAUCAAAACCAAAACCAAAAUAAAAUAUGAUAUGCAUGAUGAUCUAAUGUAUAACAUUUCAAAUUGAAAAUUUGGGAUGUUACACGUCUCCGGUUCUCCAAUUCAAUGGUAGCUGAACCUGGGAGGAGACCUACCAGAACCUAUAGCCGCGCGCUGGCUCGACGCAACGACCAUGACCAGGGACGCAACCAAAAAUAGUAACGGGGCACGACCAGGCACCGAUUCCCAUCGUGCGUCGUCAUCGAAGCCGACGCUGAAGGUGUAGCGGGAUGUGUCGGAACUCAGAAGCGUCCUACGCGAGAUUGCAACCUGCAAUGCGACUGGCCUGAGCUUGCAAUUGAGGGGAUCGCAGCCAGAGCCUAUCCCGGAGCACCAAUAUCUCACCCUGCUCGAGGACGAUGGUCGUGAUGGCGACCGAUGCUCCUUGUCGGGGCAGCAUCGGUCGUUUUCGAGGGAUUCCAGAGGAUGCACCAAUUUCCACGACAUUGAGCAAGCAGGGCGGAUGAGGCCUAUCGUUGGGUUGUGUGCGCGACAAACGAAGAAACCAUUGCUUGGGUGUAGCGGUGUUCAGGUGAAGUCGGCAUAACGAUGAGAUUGAUAGCUUCGGUGUGGCAAUAUCGAGCACGGGUGGAACAACAAGAUUGGACGCACGGAACAUGGGAUUCCAUGCCUUUUUAUACAUGACUUCGGUUUACGAAACGGGCAAAUGAGUCCCUGUCAAAAACUCCAUAGGCGCGUGCUCGAGUAGAGUUACGCGGUGAUACAGAGGAAGUAGAGGAGGCGGCCGAGGUAAGAGAUCGGGUCGGCAGCGGCGCUGAGCAAGCAAGAGGAGAUGUUUUUUUAAGGUGAGCGAGAUGAGAUGUAUUUCUUUUGUUUCUUUUCUACCAGGCCCAGCUUGACUUUGUUGGCCCAUGUUAAACACUAUGUACUUGCGCAAACGUACGAAACAGAUGGACGGGAGGAUUCGCUCGGGUAGGGUUUGCUUUGGCUCGGGUGCGGGUUGGGGAUCACGAAACGUUUGACGACGGACGAAAUUACACACGGUUCCUCGAAUUAGUACCAUCUCGCAUAUAUGUUUUAAAUUCAAACUAAAAGCGUAAAUUCAUGGGAAAAAACGUAUUGUGACGGUGAACCCACAAAGUCAAUUCAUGCUUUAUGUUUUAAAUUCAAACUAAAAGUAUAAAUUCACAGAAAGAAGCGUAUUGUGAUGGUGAAUCCACAGAGUCAAUCCGUGCUUUAUUAUUACUAGCAAAAGGGCCCGUGCGUUACAACGGGAGGGGAAAAAACAUAAUCUUCAAUGGCUAUGAGCCUAUGACCACAUUUUGCUGAUUUCAGCGUACUAUUUACAAUAAUACUGUUGUGGUGAAAUUCCUUACAAAAAUUGAUUGUGCAAUUGGGAGGAGAUAAGAAAGAUAACAACAGUUGUACGUUAUACAUUGUACAGUUUGACUACGUAGCUAGCUAGCAAAGCUAGCCGUAUCGAGUUGCUGUCUACCGGAAGUUCCUAGGCUUGAGUGCACGAUGACUUCCUAGAGUGGUCGAGUGCGCCAAACAGAAAAGGCUGAAACUGGCCUAGAAAGUAAGGAGAAGGAUCACUCUACGAUGGGGCACCUGGUAGCUGAAGUUCAUGAGCUACCUACUUACUGGUAGUAAGGUGUUUUCUAUUGUUCUGCUCAAAGGAAAACAAAAUAGAUGUGCUGAUGCAUUCGCAAAUUUCUCAAGGGACUGUGCCCAUAUGUGGCUAGAGGGUCUUCCUAUCAUUGUAACCGAAUUCUUAGCAGCUGAUUGUACAUCUAUCACUGAGAAGUAAUACUCCCUUUUCCACCGUAAAAAAACAUCACCAGCAAAGCACUUGCAAACUGCAAUAAACAAAUUCGCUUAGGUUCAGAGUUUACAAUCUACACCAGCUCAUGUGAUUCUCAGAUCCUGGCCUAAUUAGUCAAACCACAUCAUAGGUUUGACAACGAACUGCUCUCUGCACAAAGUGACCAACAGCAAGAAGAACAUUUUUUUUAGUAAUGAUGGUCGAUGGUAGAUAGAACAAUGCAGCAGACCCAUAACAGCCCCUCAAUACCAAGUUAAGUAUAAGUUUUCAAUGAAAGAGUAAUAAUACGAAGAUGGUAGCAGAAUAGAUAUUCUUUUUUUCCGAUAAAGAGCAGAAUAGAUAUCAUGGUAAUAACAUCUCACUGUAUUGAUAUAUAUAGGUCAUGUGACAUGCAACAUGCUACACCAAGUCUAACAUCAAGAUAACCUCUCAUGGGCACAAUUAACUCAUUAAAUCCUCUUGAAUUUAUUAUCUGUAGUUUUGUACAGAACCAAAAAGAGUCUUUCUAAAGGACUAUAAAAAUAGACUAUUAUCUUUUCACCUCAUUCAAGAUAUAGUAUGUUGUGCAUGACUAACAGAGCUUUCCCAAUAGUGAGCCUGAUAGAGGCACAUACUAAAGGAAAGCUGAAGUGUGAAAGACAUGCUUAAUCUUAACAUGGGUUCCACUUGUCCGAGAACAUAUGUAGGUGCAUAUUUCUAAAAUGAGUUAUAUAUAAUGGUACAGACAUGGAUCUAUUUUAGGGGAAAUUCACGCCAGUCUCCGUUGAUCACAAGUAAGUGCAGAUUGCAAUGUAAAAGACCAGCAGUGCUAUCUAAGUGGAUAUUGGAGCUUUGUUCUCUGACUCCCACCCAAACAAAAACUGAUAAUUUGGAUUGUACAGUAGGUUUCAGUGAGACAUAUUUCGACAAAUAGCUGAGCAUAUAUGUUUAUAAAUUGAAGGUUAACAGACCUCAAGAUGGUAAUGGACUUCCAAGUUUCAUCUUUUUGAGCUGCUACCUUCGAUUUUUUUACGCGUCCUGCAGAAAGAAAACGAACCAAAAUUUCAAAGAUGAACAUAAUUCAGUAGAGAUGGAUGUGACAAAUGAUGAGCAUCCCGCUGGCUUCUGUUCCUGGCCUAAACUGUACAGACCCAGCUAACUAAACCAGCAAUAGACCAUCCCAUCACACACCACUGUGCAUGCACACACAUAUCCAAUCCCGGGAAUUCUUUUACUGAAGAUGAGAGGAGCAAGUUUGAGAUUACCAGCACUACAUCCACCAAGCCAAGUUCUGAACUGAACCACUUGGCGUUCAAAAGUUCUGAACUGAACUGAACCCCUCUUUGCUGGAACUCCACGUUGUCCCCUGGAAUACCUUCGCUGUACGCGCUAUCCUCGUCCUUGUCCGCCUACCUGCUCGGCUCCAACGGCAGCUGGCGAGGUGGCUACGGGGCUCAUAGCCCAUGGCAAGGUUUCCUCCGCAAGGCAUCCAGGAUAGCUAGCUAGCUCGUCGAGCUCGGGGAUUUGGGUCUUCGGCAACGGCUGACGAGCUCGCUAGGGCCACGCAGGCGGCCAGCCCAAUCACCCAUCCGCACGAGAUCCACGGCGGCUCGGAGAUGGUGGCGCCUCGCGGACAGAGGAACUGCACGGCAGCAACGGUCUAGUGGUGGCGGGCAGCGUUCAUCUGGUGGAGGGCUGCGAUUCGGGCGUCGGGCGUUGAGGCAAUGCAAUUGAGGCCGACGCUGGGGGAGGGUGGCGGCAGCCGCUGCUGCCAUGGAAGGGGAUGAGAGCAGAUUUUUAGCAGAUUUUUGGGCCACUGCGCAGCGGAUGGCCGAACGAGGUGAGGCCCAAGUGGCAACGCUUCAGCCAUGUGAGACGAUCUCAGGCAAGGCCCAGGUAGUAGUGCGGACGACAGAUCAUGUACCUGCGAAAAUUUUGCGACGUGGUUCCCCGAAUUAGUACCACCUUGCAUAUAUAUGUUUUAAAUUUAAAUUAAAAGCGUAAAUUCACAGAAAGAAAGCGUAUUGUGAUGGUGAACCCAUGGAGUCAAUCCGUACUUUAUUAUUAGAGAAUAAAUUAAGGUUAGAUUAGCUGUAGCGCAUCUGGUUCCUCCUACUCCGAUCCACCAUUUUAGGAGACCACCAACCCCUGGCAAAUCCCUACCAAAUAUUUCCCAAAAUUCUACGCAGGGCGUGACACCUAACCACCACCUUCGGCAAGCUUCGCCGUCGUUGGAAAAAGAAGCCAUGACACUAAUUUCGUCUGCGGCACUGUUCACCCGAUAGCACUGAUCAUGUUCGAGCCCAACGCUAUUUAGUCGUAACUGUACACAUCCGCCCCAGCUCAGCCUGUUUAGCUUAUAGGGUCUAAUCAUUGGACACGGACGUUUGGUUUCUGCAUAUGUGAAAAACAAUUAAUAACUAGUACAAAAAACGUCAAAAAACUCUGAAAAUAUUUUUAUAAUAAAGUUGACCUUCUAUUGGACUCGUAAAAACAAUUCAGCGAAUGAAAACCCCACAUUGACUUCAGGGCCAAAAAAUAUGGGUUUUUUUUAGAAAACGCUUGGCUUCUGCCGGCUCGUCCCUACAACACGUGUCCUGACCGAGUGGUCUUUUGUUCUUUCUUUCGGUCAACGUGGCCGCUGCUCGUUGCUCACUAUUCAUUACGAUGAGUUUCCACAUCAAGGUCUCUGUUGCAAAAACUGCAAAAAGUGUUAUGUUACAGAAAAAAAUAAUUUUGCAAUGAGACCUCUGUUACAAAAAAAAAACUAAAUUGCAACAAGACCUCUGUUGCAAAAAAAAAACCUGAAACAAGACCUAUGUUGCAAAAACUUCUCAAACAUGACCCAUGUUGCAGAAAUUUCUCGCAAAAUGACCUACGUUACAAUGAUAAGAAAUGACGCUCGGUCGCUCAAUCCAUCAAAUCCAAUGACUCGUGAGGCGGCCGACGUGUAGCAGUGCCCUUUUUUUCUUCGCAAAAAAAUAUAUACUAGGGAAAAAUAAAGUCAAAAUUAUUCAAAAAAAAGGGUUUCUGAUUUAUCUGAUCUUUUUCCAGAUUUUUCUCUCAUACAGAGCUCGGGUUCCUCUAUGGCUUUUUGGGGUCUUCGUCGUCCUCCCAGUCGAUCUGGGAGGCCUAGUCGGACACACCGGCCGGGUGCGGUGGACUGGGAGCACACACAUGCGCACACUAGCAUGCAUGCGGGGAACUGGGAGCAUGCGCACGAGGGGGAGCACGGGCGGCGAAGUACUGCCGACAUCGCGCAUCGUGCUUGUUGCAGAACCAAGUGUCCCAGAACGGUGAGGUGACAACGUACGCCGAGUCACGUCGGAGAUCCUCGAGGAGCUGAUCUCGGCAUCGGUGUAUCUCUAAUAAGCAUGCGUGGGCGGUGGCCUGAAUAGAAGCACAAGCACCCUCUCCCGGUUGAGGUGCCAGCCGUCCGAUAGUGGACGCCAAGCAUUGGCACCAGGGUGGCCUCAUCCCAGUACCGUUGGCACUGAUUGACACUGACGUAGAUACGUUGUUGCAGGCGGCGUCAGGGUGAAGCUUGCUGCGCGGCGGCAUGGUCCCUAGGGCCCAAAGGAUGAGCUGGCCUCGUGGUCAUGCUUCCCAGGCUUUCAUGGGAUCCACUUCCACGACAUUUUGGAUGGCGGAUGGUGGUGGGCGGUGGUGGCUAGGGUUUGUCGGUCGCGGGGGAAGGAAGGGGGCAGAGAGAAAGGAAAAAGAUCGGGAAGAGUGGCCUGGACAACCCCUCCACCCGCACACAUGGCAUUAAAAAGACUAGGGGUGGAGGGAUCGGGUGGCUGACUUGUGGGGCCCUUCCACACGCGUGGAUUAAAUGAGACCGGUGGGUGGUGGUUGGGCAGCCAUCGUGCGGGCCCGAGGCGGACACCAAGAGGAUGUGCGACACGUCUGUCUUGCGUCCGUGUGGACGCAAAUCGGGCCAAAUUUGCGGCAGAAAUAUGUCUAGAUCAAGUGAUCGACACGAGGUAGACCGUUUUUGCGUUCACGGGUGCUCGCUGUGCCGUGGUUUUUGGCCUUGCGGACCCAAACAAACACCAACAGACGAAAUGAGUCACAACAUUAAAGUUGGCCUAAAUCAAGUGGGUCCUUGUGGCAGCCAGUUUUCUCUAUAAAAAAUCUACACCAUCAUUGACUAGAAGAUAUCUGGUGAUACCAACGCUUAUGUGCUACCAUGUACAAAAAAGUCAUUCAAAAGUUUCAAUAUUACGCACAGAUAUAAUAACUCUUUUACGCGCUGUCGGAUCUGAGAUCUAUAGCUGGCCAAAUGGGCCGUUUUUUCGGGCCGGCCCAUGAGCAUGCCGGCACGGCCUGCCUUGGGCCAGGCACGACACGGGCUAAACGGGCCGGGCCCGGCACGUGGCACGCCCUGGGCCAUGCCUGGGCUUGGAGGCUGGGCAUGUGGGCCGGCACGGUACGACCCGAUUACGUUUUAUUUUUAUUUUUUUACACAUUUAUAUAUGGCCUAACAUGUAAAAAAAAGACUAAAAACGUUCAAUGCGUAAAAUAACAAGCUGAAAAUAUACGGCCCACUAUGCUAAACGGACCAAUGUGCUGGCCCGUUUACUAAUUGAGUCGUGCCUGGGCCUGGGGACGCAGCACGCGGACCGGCACGACACAGCCUAUAUAGUAAUCGUGCCCUGGUGGGCCAUGCCAGGCCAGACACGAUUACGAUGGGCCGGGCCGGGCCGGCCCGUUUGGCCAGGUAUGCUGAGAUCCAACUGACCAGCUGUAUCACAGUGGCACCUACUAGUCCCUGUGAAAUAUCCCCAGGGUAUCCCGUGAAAUUUCCCCGGGGUAGCCUCGGACGGCCAUAAAAGCGUGUCUCCACCUCCAGUACCUGUAGAGUGUGAUGUGACCGCUGAGCCCACGCACCGUCAGCUCACUCCCGAUCCAGAUCCACUCGUUCCACUUCAGUCUGCGGCGACGACUUUCCUCCUCCCACGCAGAUCUCGUCGGCGCGAGCACCAGAUCAGCCGCAGCGCCGAAGGUAGUCCGCCUUCUCCUCGCUCCGUCUUGUAGAUCCAUCUCAGGCUCUCGCUCUCGAUCUGUCCUCUUCUUUUUCCUUUUCGGCGUCCAUUUCUUGUGGAUCUGAUCCGGAUUCAUGCUUUGCAGAGCUCGAUCUGCUCUGCUGUCAACUUCUUCAGCGUCGCGAACUGGAGGCGGAGAGCCGCUGCUCGGUGUUCGUUCAGGCUGCUCUUCUUCAACCUUCCGCCUCUGGCGUCGUCUCUCCUCCUCCCGGAUCCCGGUCGAGAUCUCAUCCACCGCCAGGUCGCACCCUGCUUCCUCAGGGUGCAGCCUUGUGGUCACGAGGCGAGGUCGCCGUCUUCGCGUCAACUGGAAUCACAUCUGGCGUCGACAAGCUUACUGUUUCCUCCGGCCUGAUCUGGCAUCGACAAGCAGUUUCCUCCGGUUGGAUCUGGCAUCGACAAGCUUACUGUUUCCUCCGGUUUGAUCUGCAUCCAUCUGGAAUCAAAUAACCUGUUUGAUCUUCCCUGCUUCAGAUUUUCUUCACUGCAUCGAUCUGGACUCCCUCCGAGCACCUCCCGACUGCAAGGUAAGGUCUUCCCGAGCUUUCCCUUCAGCGGUUACUGGUUCAACAGAAAGUAUGCUUCCAUACUUGCUGCAUUUCUUUGCUUGGUUAUAGUGGUGUACUGGUGUCUCAAACUUUCUGCUUGCGCAUAUUAUUUCUUUGCUUGCACCUUUGAAUGCUUGUGAAGUUCUUUUUUUUUGGGUGAGAAACUGCUUGUGAAGUUGUGUAGCUUACUGUAUUUCCUUCUAUUAUGGUAAAUCGGACGCCCUUUAAUUGUUAGUAUAAUCUUUUAAACUGGAGUUAAUAUGCGUAAAAUCAAUUAUUGGUCCUGAACUUAUUUCAGUCUGAGCUUGUCUGGCGAUAUAUCUAAAGAACGCUUGCGAAUAUGCUGAAUCUGCUGGAACUUGCUAAAACUAUCACUGAUUGGCACAUAGUACUCGUUUAUUCUAUUUAAAAGAGAAUCAACUGGCUAUGAAAUUCUUUUCUUCAUCUCUUUUGCUGUGAUACUUUUAGUAGGUCAUUUCCUCUUUUUUAAUAUAAAUUUGCUACCUUUUUACACUUCCUAGAUGCACAAUAUUUUUAUUUUUUUGUUGUAAAUUCCUUAUGAUUAUUGAUCACAUCUGGGGAGAAGAAAAUGUGAAGAUUUGUAAAAAAUUCUUUGUAGUUGAAUAAUCAUAACAUAACAUACAAGAUUACUAUCUUUGAAGCAUAUCACUUUUUCUGUGAUAACAUAAUUCAUAAGAAACCUCUUUCAAAUAAGACUCUCAAAUAAUUUUCUAUAGAAAAUAUAUCGUAAUGAGAACAUAUGUUCACGUGAAUUAGAGAAAAUAUCGAGAGCUAUUUUCAAGAAAUGUGGUGGUGUACCAUAGCCAUUAUUGCUGUAACUACUAUUUUUGUUAGUAAUAAACCAAAUGGAGCAAAAAUUAUUGAUUCUGUUUGCUCAAUUUUAUGUGUCAUGAGGUAACAAAAGAUGCUAUAUUUGAAGGAAAUGGAAGGGAUAUUAUUGCUCAAUUGUUAUGAUUUGCUUCCCAUUUGAAGACUAGUUUAUUAUAUAUAAGCAUAUUUUUGUAAGUUUGAGAGAGAGAUCACAAGAAGAUCCACUUCAAGAGCCAUUGGACCGCUGAGAAAUAUGUUUAGAUAUAAUAAACAAGUCUUUAGAUGGGAAGGCAGAUCAUAAUAGCUGAGCGAAAUGUAAGUGAUACCGUUGCUCAAUUGUUAUGAUCUGCUUCUCAUCUGAAGACUAGUUUAUUACAUAUAAGCAUAUUCUUGAAAGUUUGAGAGAGAGAGAGAGAGAUCACAAGCAGAUCCCGUGCAGAAGAGAACAUCACUGAUACAACUAUAAUAAUUCUUCCACUUCAAGAGCCAUUGGGUCGCUGAGAAAUAUCUUUAGAUAUAAUAAACAUGUCUUCAGAUGAGAAGGCAGAUCAUAAUAGCUAAGCAAUAAUAUCAUUUUCAUUUUUUCUUUCGAACUAGCAUCUUUUGUAACCCCACAACCCGUAGCAUUGAGCAAACACAACCAAUCAUUAUUUGCUCUAUUUGGUUAUUACUAACCAAAAUACUAGUUAUAAUAAUGAUGGUUAAUGGUACACCUCCACAUAUUUUCAAAAUAGCUCUUGCUACUUACUCCAUUUUUCAUGCGGACACCUAUUCUUGCAUUCUCAUAUAGAGAAUUGUUCAUCUCUGAGUCUGUGAUACUACUUUUAUUAUGUCAUUUCCUCUUUUUAAUCCAAUUUAGCUGCCUUUUUACUCUUCCUAGCUAGCACAGUAUUGAUAAUUCAUUAUCUUCAUUGUGAUUCCUAAAUUCCCAUAGCUCGUUUAAAUAAAUUGAUGUGCCAAUUAAUAUUUCUAUUUUUUUGUAAAUACCUUAUGAUUAUUGAUUACAUGUGGGUAGAAAAAAAAGGUGAAGAUUAAGUGUUGUUUGUAUACAUUUUAGUUGUAUCGGAUAUCAUCAUAACAAAAUGCAAAAUUAGUAUCUUCUAAGCAUAUCACUUUUUCUGUGAUACAUAGUUCAUGAGAAACCUCUUUCAAAUAAGACUCUCAAAUAAUUUUCUAUAUAAAAUAUCGAGAAUAUAUGUUCACGUGAAUUGGAGAAAAUAUAACAAGAUGCAAAAUUAGUAUCUUUGAAGCAUAUCACUUUUUUUGUGAUACAUAGUUCAUGAGAAACCUCUUUCAAAUAAGACUCUCAAAUAAUUUUCUAUAGAAGAUAUAUCACGAUGAGAAUAUAUGUUCACGUGAAUUGGAGAAAAUAUCGAGAGCUAUUUCGAAGAAAUGUGGCAGUGUAUCAUAGCCAUUAUUACUAUAGCUACUAUUUUGGUUAGUAAUAAUACCAAAUGCAGCAAAAAAAUUAUUGGUUUUGUUUGCUCAAUUUUAUGCCUCAUGAGGUUACAGAAGAUGCUAUUUUGAAGAAAAUAAAAGGGAUAUUGUUGCUCCAAUUGUUAUGAUUUGCUUCUCAUCUGAAGACUAGUUUAUUACAUAUAAGCAUAUUUCUGUAAGUUUGAGAGAGAUCAUAAACAAGCGAUCGCCACAUGUUGACAGGGCUGCUCGACCGGCAGAGCAGUCCAGCAGCCGCAGCGGACGACUGAACGUGUUGCACCCCACCGCACCAUACAACUAUAAUAAUUCUUCCACUUCAUGAGCCAUUGGACUAUUGGGAAAUAUGUUUAGAUAAUAAACAAGCCUUCAGAUGAGAAGGCAGAUCAUAAUAGGUGAGCAAUAAUUUUUUUUUCUUUCAAACUAGCACCUUUUGUAACCCCACAACCCAUAGCAUUGAGCAAGCACAACCAAUCAUUGUUUGCUCUAUUUGAUUAUUACUAACCCAAAUACUAGCUAUAGUAAUGAUGGCUAAUGGUACACCUCCAGAUUUUUCAAAAUAGCUCUCGCUACUUACUCCAUUUUUCAUGCGGACAUAUGUUCUCGCUCUAAAAUAUUCGUAUAUAGAGAAUUAUUGGAGAGUCUUAUUUUAAAUAUGUUCAGUUCUAUUAAUUAUGUCAUCAUAGGAAGAGUGACAUUAUUUGUAGACACUAAUUUGCGUGUUAUUACGAUUAUCUGACUACAGAGAUUGGUUUUUGACACACCAUACUUAAUAAAUCUUCACAUGUUGUUUUGCAUGAUGCGUGUUGUUUUUCUUCUCCGAUGAGGCCUGCCCUUCGCUCACAUCUCAAAAGUCCCGAGGAACAUGAAGAUCAGCGCACCAGCAGUCAGCAGCUCAAGUUCACCGACCCAGGAAAGAUAUAUAGGAACUAGUAGUAUAUCAUAGGGGCACCAGUGCAAAUCAAAAUAGUGUUUCUGGCUUUUGCUAUCACGCUGUGUACUCCCCAUUCCGAUAUGGUUGAAUCGCUGGAGAGGGCAACUUUGUUUGUAGGUGCCAAUAUUCAUGUGUCUCUUUGCUGAGGGCCUGAGCAUGUCAUCUGUUGUCUUGGGGACAUGAGCCUCAUGGUAUUUCAGGAUACUUCCAUGAUGCCAAACAUCUCCGAAGUCAAUUCACAUGGCUUUGCUUCCUCCUCUCCUUUUACAUGUUGCUGCUGUACAUGUGCUCUUCAGCCUGUAACUAAAAGUGUUGAUGAUUUUGUUCACUUUGUGCUUGCAGUUUUCUUUUGAGGGGAUUGUGUUUGCAGAUUUUGGUUCAAUCUCUUUACAUUUUGCCAUGACCAAUUGCACGUGCUUACAAGGAAAGGGAGUCUGUAAAAACAUGACUUUUUUUAAGGCUGUAAAAACAUUACUUGUAGUUUUUGGUACCGUGUGGUUGAAAAAAGUUUGAAGGCGCUUAUGGAAACAAAGGUUGUCCUGGUAUAUGAUCCGCUUGCUGUCUCUUGAUGAUGGCAACGGGCCGCGGCGGUAGGGCAGUAGGCAGGUGCCCAGCAGCAAGGCGCGUAGACGCGUGGUUCAAAAAAUAAUGAAUGGCGGUGGAUCUGUAUGGCUAACGGCGAGGACAACAUUUGGUCUGGCAAUUUUUUUGUUGUAGCUAUGGUUUUGCGUAAGACUGAUUAUCAUUCCAGGUUUUCUAACGAAGGUACAGUAGUACAUGAGCACAGGGAGUCAGUUGGAGAGGCUCAUAGCUUAGUUAAAGCUGCUGCAGCCUUACAUGUGGCUGAGUGGUUUACCCGAUAUUUGUUAUAUUCCGUUGAAUGUUUUGAAUGAAAAAAUAACCCUGUUCUACUAAAAACAUGAAUUAGUCUUCCCGUUAGGGCACAUACACAGGAGUCCUUCUAUAUGACACACGCAGGCGUCAGGUAGACAACGAAACACCCACAUCGGCCAAAAUGGGCCGGAAGUGUAGCGGCUCACUUACGUUGUUCUAUUUUUUGUGCAAAUAUAU